UUUUUUUUUUAAAUCUGUCGAGUUUAAAAUUUUAAGCAAUUUUGUAUAAAAAUUGUAUUUAGUAUGCAUACUUUAUAAAAAUUAUUGUAAAUACUAUUAAAAUAUUUUUAAAUUAUUAGUAUAACUCGAAAUAAUUCAAAUGUUUUUUAAAAUUUUAGUAAUUUUAAUUAUAGUAUUUUGUAGUAUUUCAAUUGGAUAACAUUCCUUCAAAUUUCCUCAAAAUUGUUUAAAUUGUAGCCUAUUUUAUUCUAAUUCCUUUCAAUUCUAGCCUAAUCAAUUUCAAUAAUAACCACCCUUUCAUUGCGAUUCUAGCCAAUUGUAUUUCAAUUUUGGCCUUUUCAAAUCCAAUCCAAUCUGAUUUAAGAUCCCUCCUUUAAAUCUUGAUCGUCCAUCGCAUUCCGUUUAAAUCUCAGCCUCUCAUCUCAAAACAACUCAAUGGUCCUGAUUUAAGAUCCUAACUUUCCUAUUUUAAUCAAAAUACCCCCUAACCUUAACCUAAUUCUUCAUUCUUCCUCUUUCUUUUUGAAUCCGCCUCUCCUCUCUUCACAGGACCACCAAUAGCAAGCAGUCGGCAUAGAUACAUCAGCUAGGAGAGUACGUGCAGUAGCUCCGACCAGAGAAGCCACCGGACAACAGCAAUGACGCUGCUCCGAGCAGUAGGCCAGCGUCGAUCUCCUCUUUUUCCGGUGACAGCAGCAAAAUCCGAACGACAACAACUCCAGCAGCUGGCGAGAACCACCAGCAAGCCUCAAUCUCUGGCAGCAGCUCCAGUCGGCGCAAACAGCAGCAGCAGCCGCCAGCGAGAAGGUAGAGCCAACGCCGCCUCGUUUCUCUUCUCUUUCUGGCGAGAACUAGCAGCCAUGUGAGGUCAGUGACACCGGAAAAUAGCAACAAUAAGCUCCGAACAAGCGAGCUCCGCUGGAGCUUUUGAAAUUUUAAGUUGGUUUAAAAGACAGAUCUCUAACAGAUCCGUCCAGGUAUAGUUCUUUAAAAUUAUUAUCUCAUCUUUUAAUAAUUUUUGUUCUUCUUUUCAUUCACAUUUUAGCAUGGAUUUUUUGAUGUAUAAAUGUUGUUAUGCAUGCUCACUUUAUGAGAGUUUAUUCCAUUUUUAAUGUGAACCGUACUAGUUAUGAUUUCUCUUGUUCUUGCGAACUUGUUUGUUAGCUUGAUAAUGAUAUGGUGUCAUAUGAUUUAAGCCUUCAAAUGGAUGAUAGUAUGACUGCUGAAAUUGGUAAUGCAUAAUUAACCGAUUAAAUGUUUCUUCGAUUUCUCCUAAUUAUGCUAAUCUCCUAAUUAUGCUAAUCUAUUAAUGUUUUCUCGCAUAUAAUUGAUUAUUUGAAAUGGUCAAUAACUCUAGUUGCUUGAACCAUGAUUUAUGGCUUUCUUUAAGGUAAUGCAAUUUGUUUAAAUUGAAUUGAUUCUUUGCUUGAUCCAAUAGAUUGAUUUUAUUUCCAUAAUUGUCUCUUGCCCGUUUUUGAUUUGUCUGAUUAUAUGGUAAUAAAUUGCUUGUGAAUAUUAAAGAAUAUUAGCUUUUUUUUUAGUAUGCAGAUUCUCACUUGCUUUUAUAUUUGGUAAAAAUAAAAUAAAAUAAAAUAAAUUAUAUAGAAUUUGAUUCGGUUCCCGGUUGUUUAAGGAAAUAAAUUAUAAUUGACUCCUUAAUUUAUUGUUUUCCUUUGCAUGCUCUAUUCUGCUAUUAUAUAAAAUGGCCCUUUGUCUCAUUAUAAAAAAAAAGGCUAGAACCAUCACACGGUUGAACAUUCUUACACAUUCUUAACACUAAAAAGAAAAAAAAUACUUUACGGUUUAAAAGAAAAGAAGUCUAAAGCAUUGAACCGCUCACGCUUUGCUGUGUUGUUGUGUAGCUGAUUCGGUUUGGAUAUUUUGCUAAAAUACUUCAUUGCUGAUGAAACUUUCUGCAUAAUCAGUUAGCUCUUCUUCAUUAGUUUAAAUUUUGUCUUGUAUUAUUUUAUUACGAAAGUUGUUGUGUGUUUGAAAAAAUGAAAUAAAAAGGGAACAUCUGGGUCAGUUUUUUCUCUCUCCUCGCUCUCUGUGUGAUAUUAUAUUUGUCGUUAUGCUUUACUUGUCUAAAUGCUCGUUUUGCCGAAUAUGUAUAAAAUGAACAUGCGCAUAUGUUGAAUCUGCCCGUAAUUAGUACUAUUGUUUUAUUAUAUUAUAUUAUUGUAUGCCAUAUAUUUGUCUGUAUCUCACUUUAGCAGGUUCGGACUUGGUUUCAAGUUCAAAGAGUCGUCAUGGAUGAGUCUUUCAGAUGGGAUCUAGUUUUCAUUCGUGUUUAUAAUAUUUGUAUUAUUUUAUUUGGUGUUGUAAUAAUUUUUGUAGUAACACUCUCUAUAUAUAUAUAUAUAUGAAAUAAUCUCGGGGACCGCCCAAGGGGAGGGGGUUUACGUGCUAAUUGCUACUUUGUCGCAAACUUACUUGUUGUUAGAAAGCACGACUAUAGGAGUGUGUUCUGUUUGAUCGUUCCCAUUCUAAUAUUUGCACUCAAGAUCUGUCUAAAAUAAAAUCAAUUACUUGUCACCAAUCACCUACUUAGCUUGCCUAAUUUUAGUGUAAAAUUAACCAUGUAGUUAAAUACCUUGCUUUAGUUGAUUUAUAUGGUCGCUUUCUUCAUCACUAAUAAUAAAUAUAAAUAAUGUAUGACUGCUCCUUGCCUCAUUUACUUAAACCAAGCUCCUUACAUAUAAUGAAUGAAAAACGCGUGAUUAUUGUCUUAAUUUAUUUUUACAAUAAUUCUGCCAUUUUUAGAAAAUAUGUCAAUAGGGAUUUAAAUAGUUUUAAAACAUUUAUUUGAGUGUAGUAUUUAUGCAUAUAGGUUUAAAUAGUUCUAAUACAUGCCUAAGAAAAUAAAUCUCAACUUGUGCACACUUAGAUACCAUGCCUAUAGGAGUUACAUAAUCACUCUCUUGCAAUAAUAUUUCUGUCUAUUUUUUAAAAAAUCAAUUGGUAACUAAAAUCGGCUUUCUAUAAUAAUUUUCUGCAACCUUUAAAAUCAGUCUAAUAAACUGUUGCCACUUGAAAUAAACAUUUCAGCAUUAAUAAUUUGCUAUUGCUUUCAAAUACUUUUGCCCAUUUGCAUUAUUAUAAAGUGCCCAUUUUAAAUUAAUUACUAAUUAAAUCAGUCUAAUAAACUUUACCUAACUUGUAAUAUUUUCGCCCAUUUAAAAUUAAUCUAUAUGUUAUAUUGAGUUUUUGUUCGUCUAUGCACACACUUAAGCAUGAAACAUUUCACUUUAUGUGUGUUUGCUAGCAUGCUAAAUAAAAACCUAGAGGCCAACAUGAGAUUUACGUGCUAAAUGCUCGUCCAAAGUGUUUGACUUGGUGUCUAGGUGGGCCUAUUAGGAGUUUAUUUUAGUCUAAAUCCACCAUAAUAGUAGUCCAAUGCCUCUUGGAUCUUAAGAAGGGACGAUAGGCACCUUGUAGAGACGAAAAGCAUGCGGUGGUGGGGUAGGGGUAGUUUAGGCCUUACGAAGAUGAUGACAUCGACUCGGUCGUAAUGACAAACCUUGGUUUUGUCUGUCCCUACGAGUAACAGACCGAAAUAAAGAAAAGUCGAGUGCUGAUUCGUAAAGUCCUUCAGAGUCUCCCUUUCCUUUCUCCCCUUUAUUUGUUUAUAAUUAUAUUUAUUUGGGGUAGUUUAAUUAAAUAAAAAAAUGAUAUUUACCUAUAUAGUUGUCUACUUUCUAUCUUCUCGCUAUCUCUUUUAAAUUUUAUUUGUGCGAAUUAUUUAGUCUUAUGUCAUCACAUAGUUUUGCAUGUUUAAUUAAAUAACAAAUAAAUAAAUUGAUCUUAAUUGUUUAUUAUUAGUUAUCACCUAGCAAGCAUGUUUAAAUAACCAAUAAAUGAAGUGACCUUAAAUGCUACUUGUAACCCCCACAUAAAUUGCAUAACACACGGUCGGGACCCACAUUUUGUGGACCUCGAGGGAUGCUUAACACCUUCCCCUCGAGGUAAUUUGAACCCUUACCCGAUCUCUGGUUCGUUGACCUUUAUUUAGAAUUAGUUAGGUUAGAUAGGUGCCCUAACACGCCUUAAUUUGUUAGGUGGCGACUCUUCAUUUUUUUAAAACCCAAAAGAGUUGUUAGGUCGUGCAUCCGAAAGAAAGGUUCGUUUUGAGAAAAACGGGGUGCGAUGGAGGGUUGGGAUUUUCCUCGAAUUCCUCAACCUUUCUGAUUAACAUUUCAGGGACCUCACUUUCUUCGACUUCCUCUAAGUCAUUAAUGUUAAGCUGUGCAAUCUCAUUAUAUGCCAUAGUCUCAGAUUCAACAUUUUUAUAACAGAUUUUGUUGGAAAAAAGAAUAACGCACAAAUAAAUAUAAGAUAUUAAAUAGAUGGGAAAAGAACUUUCCGUUGGACAGCAGCUCGACAAGGCAGUCCGACAGCACUACGGAGACAGCGAGGCAGCAGCAGCCUGUUUUUCCCCUUCAUUUCUCCGGCGAGCAGCAGUGGCGGACACCAGCUCCAACCAACAGCUCCAGCCGACUCCAACUAGCAGCCAUGCACACCAGCGUGAGAGCCUGCUCCGAAUAGCAGCGACGGUGAAACCACCUGCAACAACAGCAACACGCAGCGAGAAAAAUAACAGCUCCGGCGAGAGAUCCGACAGUAGCCGCUGCGAAAACAACGACAGCGGCAAACUCUGGCCAGCAACUAUUUCCUCCGCUCUCCUCUUCUCUUCUCACGGUGGAGACAACACCUUGGAUAAUGUUUACAAGGACCAAAACUUUAUGAUUUUUGGCUUGUUGAAGACGGAUCUUUUUAGAUCCGUCCGGGUUCGUUUUCUCGUUCAAUUCAUUACCUAAGUUAUUUUUGAAAUAAUGAUUUUAUGCUUGUGAGGUUGAUGCGAUUCCUUGUUAAUUGUUGAUCUUAUGACCAUUUCUUAGUUAUUUUCUGAACGCCGGAAGCAUGUAUAUUUUAGCUUUGUUAAAAUGUCAUUAUGUUCUAUUGUGAUUUAAGAUAUGUGUUUAGUUACCGUUGUUGAUUACUAAACUGAUUUAGUAAGACAUCCUGUAAAUGGGUUGAUUUGCCAAAAUUUGUGAUUAAGGAUUAAUUCAAGCAACUCUCCGAUAAUUUUUUCUUAGCUCAACAACUGACUACUGAUCUCAUAUUGAUUUGUUGAUUACCAUUAAUGGAUUUGUUCUUCUUUUUUUAGCGUUAAUUAGGAUCUGCUAGGUUAUAUAUGUUUAUCUAAUUGCUGAAAAUCAACCUUAAAAUGUGUAUUGGUACUUGACUUUUGGAUAAUGUAUUUAAUCAUGAAAAUGACUCUAUGUUUUAAUUAUAGUAAGUAAUCCCAAUGAGAUAAUUUGUUUGUACUGAUUUUAUUCCUUUCCUUUAAAUUAUGUUCUUUGAUUUUCUAUAAUUUUUAUUAAUUUGCUGACUUGUGUUAAUUGAUUUUUCUAUCUUAAUUAAGUUAAUUAAUAAGAUGCAUUUAUUUAUUUUAGUGAAAUAAUGUCCAGUUAUGGUAAAGGUAUAUUGAUAUAUUUUUUGAGUUGUAAUUAUCACCCUUCUUGUAUUAAUUAUUAUAUGUCUUACUUGAUUUUUUUGCAUAUUAUUGUCUGUUAAUUGAUUCCUUGUACCUUAAUUAAAAGUUGCCAGAUUUCUUACUCGUUUAUAUUUGGUAAAAAAAAGAAUAAAUAAAUAUGGGACUAAUUUUAUAUUCCUUUUUUGUUUAAGGAAAGCAUGUUAUAAUUGGCUCCUUGAUUUGUUUUCCUUAUUUUGGUCCGUACUCUAGUAGUAUAUAAAGGACCCUUCCCUUCAUUAUUUAGCGGCCUUGACUUUUGCUCACAUACUAAAAGAGGUUACUUUGGAAUACUUUAAAAAAAUAUUGCUCUCUACUCUUAAAAUAAUUAAUACUCCGGUGAAUAAUUUUAAGGGUUUUUCUGCUCAGUUUUAUUGUGUUCGGGUCUAGUAUCGAAUCAAAUUGGGUCUUCAUUGCUGAUAAAUAUUUCUGCAUAACUGGUUAGUUCCGUUCACUAGUUUAAAUUUUGUUUGCAUUAUUCUUACUAUGUGUUGUUUGAAAUAAUAAAGGAAGCGCCCUGGGUCAGUUUCUUUCUCCCUCUUUUGUGAUGAUUAUUUUGUUGAGUUUAUCAUUUGUUUGAAUGUGAAUGUUGGUGCUGCUUCUGUCCGUUAAAUAAAUUUUGUUUUAUUGUAUGUUGGUGCUGCUUUAUCUACUCUAUUUAGCAGGUUAUAUGAGUUUGAGAGUCGAAGAGUUGCCAUGAGAAGGGAUAUCGGAUUGGAGCUUUUAUUUUAUUUGGAAUUUAUUCGAUUUUGUAAUAAUGUUGUAUUACUCUAACUCUCUCCUAUAUAUAAAAAAAAAUAACUUGGGGAAUCAUCUAAAGGGGGAGGGGAAUUAUGUGCUAACUGUUUUACUUAUUUAUUUCAUGUUAAUACGUGUAGUUGUUAAAAUUUGUCUAUGUUUGCUCAAAUAGUAAAUUAGUCAAGCACAUUAGAAUAUAUUUUAAAAUUGGUCUAAAAUCAAUUCUGUUUAUAAUUUUGUCAUUGUUUAUAUUAUCUGACUAGUAAUAUAUUUAGAUGUCAUGCUUAUAAGGUUUAAAUAAUUUGAUCGAUUUUUGGGUUAGAGUUCAUAUUCAUAGGCGUCAUUAAUUAAUUUCUUGCAUGUAAAAUAUAAUGAGUUAAUUUUGUGUAUAUUUUGCUGCAAAAUAAUAAUAAUAAUAAUAAUGUAAAGUCAUUUGCCGACAUAUUUUAUUAAAUAAAAUUAAUAUAAUUACCUUCUGCUCUGUACUUGCUUUAAUAUUUCCUGCUUGUUUAAGAACAGUAUGACAAAAAAUUUAAUUAAAAUUUAAAACUGUCUGAAGUGCUUGCUUGCUUAGGUUAAUCAAUUAGUCCUAAUAAUUCAGUAUGUUUAAUAAUUUAAUCCUGUCAAUUAAUCAAGUUUUAAUAAUUUCACAACAUGCUUAGGAACUAUACCUAUAUGUUUUUCUGAAUAUAUAAUGUCCAGUUUGCUCGCCGCUAGAAAUCAUGCCUAAGGAUUAUUUCUUUUAUCGUAUAUGUUGUUUGGGGUUAGUAAAUCAUGCCUAUAGGUGUAAUGCAGCGUUCUGAUCACAUAGAAAUCAUGUUCAUAGGCAUUGUUAAUUUCCAGUAUGAAAUCGGUUUUAAAAUAAUAUGUCCUGCUUUAAUUAUCAAUUAAUUCGGUCACUGUUUAAGCGGAUGUUGUGACAUAUUCAUUUUCUACCAAUUAAAAUCAAUCAAUUUCCAAUAUGCUAAACCACUAAAUAAUUAAAUUUAAUUGUUUUCUGCAUUUCGAACAUUGCCGUAUCAAUUAAAUUUAGUUCAUAAUAACUAUCUGCAUGUAACUUUAAUAUCUGCUGCCUUGACUAAUUUCUUCCCAAAAUAAACAGUGUUCUGCAUUAAAAUAAGCUCUGUUUGGCUACUUAAAAUAAAUUAAUGACUUUCUCAACAUGUUAAUUAGCAAUAAUCUGAUCUGUCUCUACAUUAAUAACUAGAUCUGUUACUGCUCUAAAAAAUAUAGUUUUUCUGCAUCUACAAUUGCUUUUAUGUUAUAUUAAUAAAAUAUGCAACCUGUCAUAAUUCUCUGUCCCAUUAAUAUUAACCAGUAUUUUGUUAUAAUGCCCGAUUGUAUACUUGUUUAUAUGCAAACACUUAGCAUGCGAUUUUUUCACCUUACUUGUGUUUGUCAGCAUGUUUAGUAAAACCUAGAGGCCAACUUGAGACUUUACAUGCUAAAUGCUCGUCCAAAUUGUUUGACUUGGUGUUUAGGUGGGCCUAUUAGGAAUUUCUAUUUUAUUUUAGUCUAAAUCCAUCCUAAUAGUAGUCCAAUUCCUCUUGGACCUUAAGCGGGGACGCUAGACACCUUUUAGAGACGAAAAGCAUGCGGUGGUGGGGUAGGGAUAGUUUAGGCCCUACGAAGAUAAUGACAUCGACUCGGUCUUAAUGAAAAACCUUGGUUUUGUCUGUCCCUACGAGUAACCGACCGAAAUAAAGAAAAGUUGAGUGUUGAUUCGUAAAGUCCUUCAGAGUCUCCCUUUCCUUUCUCCCUUUAUCUAUUUAUAAUCAUAUUUAUUUGGAGUAGUUUAAUUAAAUAAAAAAUGAUAUUUACUUUUAUAUUUGUUUACUUUCUAUCUUCUCGCUAUCUCUUUUAAAUUUUAUUUGAGUUAAUUAUUUAGUAUUAGGUUAUCACCUAGUUUUUGUAUGCUUAAUUAAUUAAAUAAAUAAAUGAGUUGAUCUUAAUUGUUUAGUAUUAGUUAUCACCUAGCCAGCAUGUUUAAUUAAAUAAUAAUAAAUGAAGUGACCUUAAAUGCUACUUGUAACCCCCACAUAAAUUGCAUGAGAUACGGUCGGGACCCACAUUUGUGGACCUCGAGGGAUGCUUAACACCUUCCCCUUGAGGUAAUUUGAACCCUUACCCGAUCUCUGGUUCGUUGACCUUAGUUAGAUUUAGCUAGGUUAGAUAGGUGCCUUAACGCGCCUUAACUCGUUAGGUGGCGACUCUUCAAUCCAACCGAAAAGCCCAAAAGAGUUGUUAGGUCGCACAAAAACCCGUUUUGAGAAAAAUGGGGCGCGACAGAAUGGCGACUCUGCUGGCCCAUCUGGUUAGUAAUUUGUUUAAAUGAAUUAGAUAUCAUGCUUAUAGAUUUGAUUUUCAGCGUAUUGGCACUUAGAAAUCACGCCUAUAAGACAUAAUUAAGUUGAGAUGUCAGUCAACAUAUUAAUAAAUAAAAAGAGUAAAAUUAUGUUUUAAAAUUAUAAUAUGCUUCCUAGAUUGAAUCUGGCUCAAAUCAAUUAAGUUCUGCUCUGUUUUGCUACUGAAAAACACUAAUAAGUCAUUCUAAUAUAUAUAUAUAUAUAUAUUUCUUGUAUUUUGUGAUCUAUUUGCUAAUCACCUAAAAUUAACUAAUAAUUAUAUUCUGCGUGUCUUUAAAAUCUGCUACUAAACUUGCUGGACUAAUUAAAUGAUGCCCGAAAUUAAUUAUUUUCUGCAUUUUAACUGCCACUUAAAUUAAAUUCUGCACUAAUAAAUACCUUUUGCUACUGUUCUAAAAAAAUAAUUUUCUGCAUCUGCUACUUGCUGCCCCGAUUAAAUCCUGUUCGAAUUAAUUUCUGCACUGUUUUUCCACUUGAAAUAAGCUAAAGCAGUUUAUGCAUAUUAAUUAAAGCCAUUCUGCCACUGGUUCAUCUCUAGAUUUAAAUUUGCUCUAUUUUUGAGAUUGUUAGUUGAAUUAAUUAGCCAUUGUUUUCCUCAUAAUAUCUAGGCUCGAUUGAAAUUAACUGUUAAUACUUGUUCAUUGAUUAUAUGCCCACACAUCUACGCAUGAGACCUUUUUCACGUUACUUGUGUUUGCCAGCAUGCUUAAAUAAAAAAAAACUAGAGGCCAAUUUGAGACUUAUGUGCUAAAUGUUAGACAAAUUGUUUGACUUAGUGUGUAGGUGGGCCUAUUAGAAUUUUAUUUUAGUCUAAAUCCACCAUAAUAGUAGUCCAAUGCUUCUUGGAUCUAAAGCGGGGACGAUAGGCACCUUGUAGAGACGAAAAGCAUGCGGUGGUGGGGUAGGGGUAGUUUAGGCCCUACGGAGAUGAUGACAUUGACUCAGUCUUAAUGACAAACCUUGAUUUUGUCUGUCCCUACGAGAAGCCGAUUGAAAUAAAGAAAGUCGAGUGCUGAUCCGUAAAGUCCUUCAGAGUCUCCCUUUCAUUUUGUCCCUUUAUUUGUUUAUAAUUAUAUUUACUUGGGGUAGUUUAAUAAAAUAAAAAAUGAUAUUUGCUUAUAUACUUGUCUACUUUCUAUCUUCUCGCUAUCUCUUUUAAAUUUUAUUUGGGUUAAUCAUUUAGUAUUAUUAUAUCACCUAGUCUUGCAUGCUUAAUCAAUAAAAUAAAUACUUGAAGUAUCGUUAAUUGUUCAAUGUUAGUUAUCACCUAGCAAGCAUGUUUAAUAAAUAAUCAAUAAAUGAAGUGACCUUAAAUGCUACUUGUAACCCCCACAUAAAUUGCAUGAGAUACGGUCGGGACCCACAUUUGUGGACCUCGAGGGAUGCCUAACACCUUCCCCUCGAUGUAAUUUGAACCCUUACCCGAUCUUUGGUUCGUUGACCUUUCGUUAAAAUUAGUUAGGUUAGAUAGGUGCCCUAACGCGCCUUAAUUCGUUAGGUGGCGACUCUUCAUUUUUCAAAAGCCCAAAAGAGUUAUUAGGUCGUGCACCAAAACCCAUUUUUGUGAAAAAAUGGGGCGCGACAGAAUGGUUACUCCGCUGGCGCAAAGUUCUCCAAGCAUAUUAUCUUGGUAUCAAUCAAUUGUUGAAUCUUGUUUUUCAGAUCACGACAUUCUUCUAUGGUAUGUCCUUGCAUCCCCGAGUGAUAAGCACAAACCUUAGAGGGUUCAACCCACCUUGCACGUGUAUUUAUCCUUAUUUCACUGCUCCUUGCUUCAGUUACUUAAACCAAGCUCCUUACAUAUAAUGAAUGAAAAACGCGUGAUUAUUGUCUUAAUUUAUUUUUACAAUAAUUCUGCCAUUUUAGAAAAUAUGUCAAUAGGGAUUUAAAUAAUUUUAAAACAUUUAUUUGAGUGUAGUAUUUAUGCAUAUAGGUUAAAAUAGUUCUAAUACAUGCCUAAGAAAAUAAAUCUCAACUUGUGCACACUUAGAUACCAUGCCUAUAGGAGUUACAUAAUUCUUAAUAUAUUAUUUGGGUGUAGAAAUUAUGCAUAUAGGUUUCAAGUGACUUCUCUUUUCUUAUCUAGAAAUCAUGCUUAUAGGACUAAAACAAUAAAAUCGAUGAUGCUAACUAGUUAGUUCGAAUAAUUUCUGCAUGUUUUAGUAACUUAAGCCUGCCAGCUAAUAAAUUUAUAUUAGGUUGCUAAUAAAAUUUCAGCAUGUUAAUCACUUAAUUAACAUAUUUAUAGGCUUCUAAUAAAUUUUCAGUAUGUUUUUUUAGUCUGCUAUGAAUAUUCUCUAUCUAAAAUAAGUAAUUUCAACUUAAAAUAAAUCAAUAUCUUCUCCUGCAUGUUAACUGCGAUAUUAAAUUUGUCUACCAUUUAAAACAGAGUUAUUAAAUCACUCUCUUGCAUUAAUAUUUCUAUUUUUUUAAAAUCAAUUGGUAACUAAAAUUGGCUUUCUGUAAUAAUUUUCUGCAACCUUUAAAAUCAGUAAUUGCAUUACCUUAAAGAAAGCCAUAAAUCAUGGUCCAACCAACUAGAGUUAUUGACCAUUUCAAAAAAUCAAUUCUAUGCGAGAAUACAUAACAGAUAAGCGUAAUUAGGAGAUUAGCAUAAUUAGGAGAAAUCGAAGCAACAUUUAAUCGGUUAAUUAUGCAUUACCAAUUUCAACAGUCAUACUAUCAUCCAUUUGAAGGCUUAAAUCAUAUGACACCAUAUCAUUAUCAAGCUAACAAAAAAGUCCGCAAGAACAAGAGAAAUCAUAACUAGUACGGUUCACAUUAAAAAUGGAAUAAACUCUCAUAAAGUGAGCAUGCAUAACAACAUUUAUACAUCAAAAAAUCCAUGCCAAAAUGUGAAUGAAAAGAAGAACAAAAAUUAUUAAAAGAUGAGAUAAUAAUUUUAAAGAACUAUACCUCGACGGAUCUGUUAGAGAUCCGUCUUUUAAACCAACUCAAAAUUUCAAAAGCUCCAGCGGAGCUCGCUUGUUCGGAGCUUAUUGUUGCUAUUUGCCGGCGUCAUUGACCUCACAUGGCCGCUAGUUCUCGUCGGAAAGAGAAGAGAAACGAGGUGACGCUGUCUCUACCUUCUCACCGGCGGCUGCUGCUUUCUGCUGCUGCUGUUUACACCGACUGGAACUGCUGCCAGCAAUGGAGGCUUGCUCAAAAUCAAUUCUGUUUGUAACUUUGUCAUUGUUUAUAUUAUCUGACUAGUAAUAUAUUUGGAUGUCAUGCCUAUAAGGUUUAAAUAAUUCGAUUGAUUUUUGGGUUAGAGUUCAUAUUCAUAGGCGUCAUUAAUUAACUUCUUGCAUGUAAAAAAUAAUUAGUUAAUUUUGUGUAUAUUUUGCUGCAAAAAUACGUAUUUAAUCGAAUAGCAUUUCCAAAAUUGCUAAAGAUCGGUCAAAAUUGGGUGUCAACAGCUGCCCCUUGGUUGCUUGGGAAUGAAUGAUGAAUUGUCGGGCAACCAACGUUGACUUACAGAUGUCAGGGGAUCAAUUGAAAUUAUAAAAAGUUGGAAAAGGGUACGAUCGAGACUUUGGUAUUAAGCCGCCUACAUAUCUCUGGUUAUACGAGAAUCAGGUCGUGUGUAGUUCUAGACUCAGGAGAAACGAAACUCUUAAAAAUUGAAAGAGCGGCACGGUAUUCGCACGGGAAUGAUAUUGGCUUGAAUGGAUAAGAUUAGAGUAGCAAGAAAGGCAUGACAAAGAGAUUUUUGAUUUAAGACCGAAGAAUCCGAUGAAGAGGAGGUAAUAUGAGUAGCCAAGGAUUAAAUGAAAAACGGUGAUACGAGUAGCAAAGAGUUUGAUGGGGCUUUUGUUGCAAUAAAUGUAAGCACGACAAUCAUAGCCAAGAGAGAGAUUGAUCUCGUAUGCAAAAUGUCAGUCUCUGCAGAUCUGUAGCUUGUAAUAUGAUUAGAGCAAGUAUAUCAAACUAACGAUAAAGGUAAACAUGAUGCAAUUUCCCAUAUCGACAAUGAUGUUUACCUUAAGACUAUGAAAAUUAUGUCUUAGGCUAUGAUAUCUAGGGCCAUGAUACGCAAAAUUUAUAUCCUCAGGUCAUGCAAAUAUUGUUCGUGGGGCAAGAAAAAUGAUGCCCUUAGACUAUGACACCUUCGGAUCAUGAUAAGCAGAAAGUAAAUCCUUAGGCCAUGAUAUGAUGUCCGCAGGCCAUGAAAUAUCAUUCAUUUAGACCAUGACGCCUUACAAAUAUGAGUAAUGAGUAAAUAAAGUGUAUCUGUAAUUCAGGUAUUUGUAGCUUGAUUGGAAUUUAUACGGGCACAUGCAAUUCUUAGGCACAAUGCAAUUCUCAGGCACAAUACAAUCUCGGGCACAUGCAAUUCAGGCAUAAUGCAAUCUUCGGGCACAAUGCAAAUCAGGCACAUGCAGUCUUCGGGCACAAUGCGAUCUCGGGCAUAAUGCAAUCUCGGGCACAUGCAAUCUCUGGCAUAAUGCAAUCUUCGGGCACAAUGCAAAUCGGGCACAUGCAGUCUUCGGACACAAUGCGAUAUCAGACAUAAUGCAAUCUCGGGAACAUGCAAUGAUGUAAUUCUUGGGCACAUGCAAUAUCGGGCACAAUGCAAUCUCGGGCACAUGCAAUGAUGCAAUUCUCGGGCACAUGCAAUAUCAGGCACAAUGCAAUUUCGGGCUCAAUGUAAAUCUCGGGCACAAUGCAAUCUCGGGCACAUGCAAUCUCGGGCACAAUGCAGUCUCGAGUACAAUGCAAAUCUUCGGGCACAUGCAUAAUAGUCGUUUGAGGGCAUAGAAUAUCUUGGACCUUCGCCUUGUUAGAAGGGUCGAGUGUCAUUUGUUGACAAUUUUUGAGUUCAGAAUAUUGUAGCUUUGACCCUUCUUCCUAUUGUAAGGUGUGGGUGCAGUUGAAUGUUGAUUUGUCGGGCUUGAUAUGGAGUAGUCUGAUCCUUUUGUCUGAUUAGAAGGAUAGGGUACCAUUGAUUGGCGAUUGUCGGGCUCAAAAUAACUUGGUCCUUCAUCCUGUCGGAGGAUAGUAUGCCAUUUGACUGGUGAUUUGGGCUCAGUAUAGAGUAUUUUGGUCCUUCCCAUUGUAGGAAGGUCAAUGUGCCAUUCGUUGGUGAUUUUCGAGCUCUGAAUUAGUAGCUUGAUCCAUCUUCCUAUUGAAAGGACGGAAUGCCAUUGAUUAGCGAUUUGUCGGAUAUAUCAACACAUUUAUCCUUCAAGUGGUGUUGAAGUUGCUUCUUGUAUAUGUACCUGUCUUUUCUGCAUUCAAAGAAAAAUAAUUAGUUAAAGGGGAGGUUGAUUUGUAUCCUUGAUUUGGCACAAUAUGCUCCUCUGAUGUCUGCUCGUGUGUCCGUUGAAAUGUUGUCAAAAAUUUUGAGGUCCUCCUCAAAAUUUUCUGCCCCAGUGUAGAAUUUCUGCUAUUCUGAUUUUUGUUGAAGAUUUAGCUUGAUUGCUGUGAAUUUUUGAGACCCCCUCAAAAAUUCUGCCCAAUCUUGAUUUGUGCAAAAAAAUAAUGCUCGUUUGAAGGAAUUUUUGAGUUUCUCUCAAAAAUUCUAUCCCGGUAUUGAUUUGCAAGAAAAUGUCCCUCUGAUGGAAUUUUUGAGACCCUCUCAAAAAUUUUGCCCUAGUAUCGAUUUGCAAGAAAAUGAUUUUGAUAAAAAAUUUGAAUUUCUUUCAAAAAUUCUGCCCCAGUUACACAAUCUAAAGGUAAAAAUGAAGUUUUUAUUAUGAUAAGACCAGAAUCCAUAAUAGCGCCCCUACAUAUCCCCUCAUAAACGGGAAUCAGGUCUGACAUAGUUCCAAUUACAAAGCAUAAGACAUUAAACAGAGCAUCCUUAAGCAAUACUGAAAUGAUAGAUUUUGACUAACUUUAUUGCCCAUAUGCUAACAUGGGUACUUUCCUUGUCUGAAUGUAGAAAACUUGAACUUUCGAUAGCGCAAGCCUUAUUGGAAACUGCUUAAAAUGAGCUUCGACAUGUUUACUGUUGGGGUUCCGAUCGAAGUCCUCCAAGCAUAUGAUCUUGGUAUCAAUCAAUUGUUGAAUCUUGUCUUUUAGAUCACGACAUUCUUCUAUGGUAUGUCAUUUCAUCCCUGAGUGAUAAGCACAAACCUUAGAGGAUUCAACCCACCUUGCACGUGUAUUCAUCUUUAUCUCACUGAUAGAAGCGAUGUGACCAGCAAGCCUCAACUUUUCAUAGAAUUGAUAUAUAGGCUUAGUCAAAGUAGUGUAAAUUUUGAUGGGCCUUUUCUCAACAUUGAAUAGAUUUUGAGAAUAUGUUUUUGAGUAAGGGUUUUGACAUUGUGAACAGGAUAAGUAAGUUUUUGAUAUGGAGGCAUUUGAUAUGAAGGGAUUUGAUAUGGUAUGAGCGGCGCACAAUACCAAUGGACUUGGUGUAGAGGUUUUUGAUAUUGAGGAGCUUGUAAUGGAGGACUCGGGCAGACUCGGAGUAAGAUAUGGAGGUCUGGAAGCAUAAGCAUGAUUAUGAGGAGGAUAUGGGUAAUUUGGAAAGUGAGCGUUCUUUGGAGGCAUUUGAAUGAAGCUUAGUUGAUUUUGCGAAGUGGGGUAAGUUGGUGGGGGAUUAUCUUGGAGAGUGGCUUGACUUGUGACAUGCGGCUUAUCUAUGUUUGUCUCCCGAGUGAGAUCGACAGAGAGUAACAACUUGGCCCACCCGCGCAUAUCAGACACUUCUUCUUCUAAUUCCCUUAGUUUCUUUUUCAAGCUUGAGACCAACUCAUCUGAAGGAUGCUUCUUUUCAAUAGUCUUACUCAUAACCUUCUCAUAAGUCGCUUUCCUCUUCCCUUUGUGGGUCUCAUUUGGAAGAGAAGGAAAAGCGUCCUUUGAUCACGUAUGGUAAACCAUUGUCUACAGAUCAACCAUUGGAGAAGGAAGAGCGUCCUUUGAUCGCGUAUGGUAAACCAUUGUCUACAGAUCAACCAUUGGAGAAGGGUAAAAAUAAAAGCAAAAGCAAAAGAAAACCCAAGUUAGAGCGUUGCAUUAAUUGAGAUAACAAGCACAUUGUUUUAAGAUAAACGCCCUAAAUGUAAAAAGCCUUGUAAACUCCAUUUUGGCAAAUCUUGGCUUAAUUUAAUUAUUAUGACCACAUUGACACGUAAUUUUGCAAUUUGUCUAAAGGGUGUUGGGGCAGUUUAGACGAUAAGGUGGCUACUAAUCAUGCGGAUUGGACACCAAGGGUCAAACCACCUAGGGCUUAUGCAGCAUGUAUGACCUAAGUAAAUUUUCUAAGAGUUGGCUUGACACGGACUUGAAAGGGAUUCUAUGCGAAAAGGCUCGUGGUUUUCCGGUAGUAAAACUAUCCGUUCCGUCCACGCAUAUGCCAACUCUCUAUAAAUGGGUGUUUGAAGAGAAUUGGAGUAGUUGUGAGAGGUGCAAAGGCACAACAUCACGGUAACAAAAAAAAGGAAGAGGGUCCCAAUUGGGGGUAAUAUGAGCGGAAUGCCAAUUUAUCAAAGCAACAACAUUUAGCAUUUAGGUGGAAAGCAGUAACACAUAUGCAGUUUAUGAAAGCGUUAAAUAAAUAAAUAAAUACAUACAUAAAUAAAAGGGAGUAAACAAAUAAACAUAUUAGAAAAUCAAGCAAAUAAGGAAAUAGGGUAUGGAUUAAGCAUGCGAGUAACAAAUAAAGGAAAAGGGAAAGGGAAAGGGCGAAACAUGGAAAUAAACAAAUAAGGAAGAAGAGAAAGGGAUGGAACAUGGAAAACAGACAAUAAAUAAGGAAACAAAUAAACAAGGAAAAAAAUAACAACUUAACAUGAUAAUAACCAAACAAACAAUGAAAUAACUUGUAACCCCCACAUAAAUUGCAUGAGAUACGGCCGAGACCCACAUUUGUGGACCUCGAGGGAUGCCUAACACCUUCCUCUAGAGGUAAUUUGAACCCUUACCCGAUCUCUGGUUCAUUGACCUUAGUUAGAUUUAGAUAGGUUAGAUAGGUGCCCUAACGCGCCUUAACUCGUUAGGUGGUGACUCUUUAAUCCAACCGAAAAGCCCAAAAGAGUUAGGUCGCACAAAAACCCGUUUUGAGAAAAAUGGGUUUUGUCGCGCCUCGUUUUUUCGCAAAAACGGGUUUUGGUGCACGAUCUAACAACUCUUUUGGGAUUUUGAAAAAUGAAGAGUCGCCACCUAACGAAUUAAGGCACGUAAGGGCACCUAUCUAACUUAACUAAUUCUAACUAAAGGUCAACGAACCAGAGAUCGGGUAAUAGUUCAAAUUACCUCGAGGGGAAGGUGUUAGGCAUCCCUCGAGGUCCACAAAUGUGGGUCCCGGCCGUAUCUCAUGCAAUUUAUGUGGGGGUUACAAUUAGCAUUUAAGGUCACUUCAUUUAUUGAUUAUUUAUUAAACAUGCUUGCUAGGUGAUAACUAACAUUGAACAAUUAACGAUACUUCAAUUAUUUAUUUAAUUGAUUAAGCAUGCAAGACUAGGUGAUAUAAUAAUACUAAAUAAUUAACCUAAAUAAAAUUUAAAAGAGAUAGCGAGAAGACAGAAAGUAGACAAGUAUAUUUUUUUAUUUUAUUAAACUACCCCAAGUAAAUAUAAUUAUAAACAAAUAAAGGGACAAAAGGAAAGGGAGACUCUGAAGGACUUUACGGAUCAGCACUCGACUUUCUUUAUUUCAAUUGGCUUCUCGUAGGGACAGACAACACCAAGGUUUGUCAUUAAGACUGAGUCGAUGUCAUCAUCUCUAUAGGGGCCUAAAACUUACCCCCUACCCCACCACCGCAUGCUUUUCGUCUCUACAAGGUGCAUAUCGUCCCCGCUUAAGAUCUAAGAGGCAUUGGACUACUAUUAUGGUGGAUUUAGACUAAAAUAAAAUCCUAAUAAGCACACCUACACACCAAGUCAAACAAUUUGUUCUAACAUUUAGCACAUAAGUCUCAAAUUGGCCUCUAAUUUUUUUAUUUAAGCAUGCUGGCAAGCACAAGUAACGUGAAAAAGGUCUCAUGCUUAGAUGUGUGGGCAUAUAAUCAAUGAACAAGUAUUAAUAGUUAAUUUCAAUCGGGCCUAUAUAUUAUGAGGAAAACAGUGGCUAAUUAAUUCAACUAACAAUCUCAAAAAUAGAGCAGAUUUUAAGUCUAUAGAUGAGCCAGUGGCAGAAUGGCUUUAAUUAAUAUGCAGAAAUUGUUUUAGCUUAUUUCAAGUGGAAAAACAGUGCAGAAAUUAAUUCAAACAGGAUUUAAUCGGGGCAGCAAGUAGCAGAUGCAGAAAAUUAUUUUUUUAGAACAGCAGAAAAAGGUAUUUAUUAGUGCAGAAUUUAAUUUAAGUGGCAGUUAAAAUGCAGAAAAUAAUUUUUGAGCAAAUAUCUAAUCACGCAAAUUAUUUAGUGGUUUAGCAUACUGGAAAUUGAUUGAUUUUAAUUGGCAGAAAAUGAAUAUGUCGCAACAUCCGCUUAAACAGUGACCGAAUUAAUUGAUAAUUAAAGCAGGACAUAUUAUUUUAAAACCGUUUUCAUGCUGGAAAUUAAACAAGCAGGAAAUAUUAAAGCAAGUACAGAGCAGAAGGUAAUCAUAUUAAUUUUAUUUAAUAAAAUAUGCCGGCAAAUGACUUUACAUUAUUAUUAUUAUUAUUAUUUUUGCAGCAAAAUAUACACAAAAUUAACUCAUUAUAUUUUACAUGCAAGAAAUUAAUUAAUGACGCCUAUGAAUAUGAACUCUAACCCAAAAAUCGAUCAAAUUAUUUAAACCUUAUAGGCAUGACAUCUAAAUAUAUUACUAGUCAGAUAAUAUAAACAAUGACAAAAUUAUAAACAGAAUUGAUUUUAGACCAAUUUUAAAAUAUAUUCUAAUGUGCUUGACUAAUUUACUAUUUGAGCAAACAUAGACAUGGAGGCUUUUGAUAUGAAGGGAUUUGAUAUGGUAUGAGCGGCGCACAAUACCAAAGGACUUGGUGUAGAGGUGUUUGAUAUUGAGGAGCCUGUAAAGGAGGACUCGGCAGACUCGGAGUAAGAUAUGGAGGUCUGGAAGCACAAGCAUGAUUAUGAGGAGGAUAUGGGUAAUUUGGAAAGUGAGUGUUCUUUGGAGGCAUUUGAAUGGAGCUUGGUUGAUUUUGCGAAGUGGGGUAAGUUGGUGGGGGAUUAUCUUUGAGAGUGGCUUGACUUGUGACAUAUGGCUUAUCUAUGUUUGUCUCCCAAGUGGGAUCGACAGAGAGUAUCAACUUGGCCCACCCGUGCAUAUCAGACACUUCUUCUUCUAAUUCCCUUAUUUUCUUUUUCAGGCUUUAGUCCAACUCCUCUAAAGGAUGCUUCUUUUCAAUAGUCUUACUCAUAACCUUCUCAUUAGUAGCUUUCCUCUUCCCUUUGUGGGUCUCAUUUGGAAGAGAAGGAAAAUUGUCCUUUGAUCGCGUAUGGUAAACCAUGGUCUACAGAUCAACCAUUGGGGAAGGAUAAAAAUAAAAGUAAAAGCAAAAGAAAACCCAAGUUACAGCGUUACAUUAAUUGAGAUAACAAGCACAUUGUUUUAAGAUAAAUGCCCGAAAUGCAAAGAGCCUCGUUGAGCCAGAGGUAGGCCUAAGACGACAUAUAAGUGAUGCAUAAUAAUUAAUUCAAGUCUUAUUUGCCAAUUUGGAGUUUAUAUUAGAAGAAAUAAAGAAACUUUAUUUAUUAUAAAAUUCGAACAAUACAUCAUAAUUGACAAACAAAAACUGAAAUAAACUAAGGGAAAGGGGGUAACAAUGGAAAAGUCAUCCUAAAUUCUGAAAAUCUUGAAGAUAUCGGUUCCAAGAGCUUAGGCGCCAAUUGACUUCUUGUAUAGGGAGUGACUUCAUUCUCGAUCUUCAACACGUUGCGUGCCCAUAUGUUUUCCCUUUCAUCAGUGAGCCCAUAGUAUCUUUCCCCCGCUCACUUCUUUGUCUUUAACCUUCUUUAGGAUCCAUAUGUAAUACUCACGUAUGCAUAAGGCCUGUCGUGCACCCAUAGGAAUGGUCAACACUCGCUCUCAUCUUCGGAGUAUGAUGUGGACUUGCGAUUUAUCUAGUCCAAAUUCAUACUUGAACUGCUCCAUGUCUGAUCGGAGUGGUAUUACUUGAGUUCACCCAAAUUGGCAGUGUACUUGAAGAGGAGUGUAUGGUUGAACGCCCUUUAAGCCAAUAAGCUCAAUGAAGUAUCGGUCAUUGCUUAUUACUAUUGCAUGAGGGGUGGACAACCAAUGGAUCUUCCAUUGGAUGCGGUAGCUCUCGAGCUCUGUCAAGAAUAUCUGCCAGUCUACGAAUCCUACAGGGGCGGUGAAAGCUACCAUUCUUCUUGGAUGAUUAUCAAUCUUGUUGCCAUAACCCAGAAAGAUGUCUACAGCGUCAGACUGCAUGUAGAAGUGUUCAAUAACCCAUAAUUACAGCAAAAUGUUGCAUCCCUCGAAAAACAUUCGACCAUCGACGCAUGCUGACACACUCCUCAUUAUUUUCUCCAAGAUCAUAGGUACUAGGGUUUUCCUAGGUUCGCCCUCUCUUUGGGCUAAAUCUCGAACCACAUAACUCAAGCGUGUGUCAAUCCUUCCCCUUAUCUUAGGAAAAAUCAGGGAUCCUAAUAGAGCAAUGGCAAAGGCAUUUAGACGAUAUGUUUCCCAUUCCUCGACAGAGCACUCAAACUCAUCAAUAAAAGAGUAAUAACUAUCCACUCAGCCAAAGCAUGAAAAUAGAAAGCCAAAAUGAAUCCAUCCAAGGUCUAAAGAAGAUAAGGUUGGAUUUGACUUCAUUCCGAAACUUUGUAAGAACUCCCUUGAUGAUGGCUUGUAUGGUACUAUCAUUUCACACUCGUGGUAUGGCAUGUCAAUGAAAUCACUUCUCCUCAAUCGUUGGUGCCAAGUCAAAAUCUACACAUUUGAAGAUCAUCCUCACAGGGUCCCAAAAUUCCAACAAGGCCCUAAUCAGGUGAGGGUUUGGUAUGACAAAUAUGAGGUAGGUAAGACCACCCAACAACUGACGGAUCUCUCUUUCGCGAUUUCACUUAAUAUCAAUCCACCAAUUCCUUAGCUUGUAGUUUACCUCUACGACCAUUUGCGGGUUUGAGGAGUUGAAAGUGUCCAUGACUCUGCAAACAAAACAACAAAGGACUUAUAAACUCCAUUUUGGCAAAUAUUGGCUUAAUUUAAUUAUAAUGACCACAUUGACACGUAAUUAUGCAAUUUGUCUAAAGGGUGUUGGGGCAGUUUAGACGAUAAGGUGGCUACUAAUCAUGCGGAUUGACACCAAGGGUCAAACCACCUAGGGCUUAUGCAGCAUGUAUGACCUAAGUAUACUUUCUAAGAGUUGACUUGACACAGACUUGAAAAGGAUUCUAUUCGAGAAGGCUUGUGGUUUCCCUGUAGUAAAACAAUCCGUUCCGUCCACGCUUAUGUCGAUUCUCUAUAAUUGGAUGUUUAAAGAGAAUUGAAGUAGUUGUGAGAGGUGCAAAGGCACAACAUCAUGGUAACAAAAAAAAAAGGAAGAGGGUCCCAAUUGGGGGAAAUAUGAGCAGAAUGCCAAUUUAUCAAAGCAACAACAUUUAGCAUUUAGGUGGAAAGCAGUAACACAUAUGCAGUUUAUGAAAGCGUUAAAUAAAUAAAUACAUUCAUAAAUAAAAGGGAGUAAACAAAUAAACAUAUUAGAGAAUCAAGAAAAUAACGAAACAGGGUAUGGGAUUAAGCAUGCAAGUAACAAAUAAAGGAAAAGAGAAAGGGUGAAACAUGGAAAUAAACAAAUAAGGAAGAAGGGAAAGGUGUGGAACAUGGAAAACAGACAAUAAAAAAAAACAAAUAAACAAGGAAAAUAAAUAACAACUUAACAUGCUAAUAACCAAACAAACAAUGAAAUAACCAAGUAAACCCUACAUAAGCAUGAAACACGAAAUGGUUAAAACCUAAUAUCCCUAGCGGAGUCGCCAUUCUGUCGUGUCCCAUUUUUCUCAAAACAGACUUUCCUUUCGGAUGAACGACCUAACAACUCUUUUGGGUUUUGAAAAAAUGAAAAGUCGUCACCUAACGAAUUAAGGCGCGUUAGGCCACCUAUCUAACCUAACUAAGUCUAACUAAGGUCAACGAACCAGAGAUCAGGGUAAGGGUUCAAGUUACAUCGAGGGGAAGGUAUUAGGUAUCCCUCGAGGUCCACAAAUAUGGGUCCCGAUCGUGUCUCAUGCAAUUUAUGUGGUGGUUACAAGUAACAUUUAUGGUCACUUCAUUUAUUAUUUAUUUAAGCAUGCUUGCUAAGUGAUAACUAAUAUUAAACAGUUAAGAUCAAUUUAAUUAUUUUAAUUAAUUAAGCAUCCAAAACUAGGUGAUAUAAUAAAUAACAUUAAAUAGAUAUUAGGCAGUCAAUAAAGAGAUAAGCAAGGAGACAGAAAAUAGACAAGUAUAUAAGUAAAUAUCAUUUUUUAUUUAAUUAAACUACCCCAAAUAAAUAUAAUUAUAAACAGAUAAAUGGAUAAAAGGAAAGGAGACUCUAAAGGACUUUGUGGAUCAGCACUCAACUUCUCUUUAGUGUUUCUAUAGGCUUCCGUGUAGGGACAGACAAAACCAAGGUUUGUCACUUUAAGCAUGAGUCGAUGUCAUCAUAUCCGUAGGGCCUAAACUACCCUUACCCCACCACCACAUGAUUUUCGUCUCUACAUGGUGCCUAGCGUCCCUCCUUAAGGUCCAAGAGGCAUUGAACUACUAUUAGGAAGGGUUUAGACUGAAAUAAACUCCUAAUAAGCCCACCUAGACACCAAGUCAAACAAAUAGGACAUUCAUUUAGAAUGUAAACUCUCAAAUUAGCCUCUAGGUUUUAUUAAACAUGCUUUCAAACACACAUAAUGGUGAAAGGAUUUCAUGUUAAGUGUGUGCAUACAGACACGUAUUGACAACAUAAUUAUUUAAUUGGGGGGAGCAGAAAGUUGUUACAAGUGCAGAGAACUUAUUAGACUAAUUUUUAAAGGUGGCAGAAAAGCAAUUAUAAAUGCAGAAAUAUAUUUAGAAACAGUGACAGAUUUAUUAUUAAUGCAAAGAAAUAUUUUAAAAGACAGUCAGUUUGCAAAAAUCUAGUAGCUGGUUUUUUUUUAUCAGGGCAGAAUAUUUAAAACAUGAGAAAUUAGUUGAAUAAGCAAUAUUAAACAGACAAUUUAAACAGCUUGCAAUUAAUUAUUAUUACUGAUUUUAAAUGUGGUAGCAAAUUAAUGUAGGAAGCAGAUUUUAGAUUGAUUUUGAGUGGCCAGAGUUAUUCAGCAUGCAGAAAUAAUGAGCCGGAUUUAAUUAGACAACCAGUACUUAGAGUAGAGUUUAAUGCAUGCAUGGUAUUAAACCAGAUUCACUUAAUUACUGAUUAUAUACAUGAAUCUUCACAUAGAAUGGUAUAAAUAUUAUCAUAUAAACACGUUCCAGAUUUAACAGAGAUUGAAUUAAUUUAAGGCAUGCCAACUGAUUUCAGAUUUCCAAAAGAACAAAGUUAUAGACAGACAAAUGCCUGGUUUUGACCAAUUAUUUUAGGUGAUAAUAAUUUAUUUCCAAUUUUUUUAUGUGGUUAGAAGAUAUAAACAGAUUAUAUUUAACAAUCACAAGUAAUGAAAUAAACAAAAGUAAAAUAGAUAAUUAGCACAUAUUCCCCCUCUCCCCUUAGCCGAUCCCCCAAAUAUAUCAUAUAUACAGCGAGUUCAAGAGUUAUACAAAUAUUACAAAUCAAAAUAAAUAAUAAAUACGAAUUCAAAAUACAGAAAUUAAAUAAUCUCAUCUCAUGGCAACUCUUCAACUUGAACUUCAUGUUCAAAAUCUGUAUAACAGAAUAACAUCCAACACAAGAUCAUAGCAUAAUAAUAACUAAUAGAUAGAAAACAUAAAAGCUAUUCACAGUAAACACACGAAUUUCACCAAGUCAUGUAAAAUCACACAUCGGAAUAACGGAUAAGGAAACUAACCCGAAUGCUUCCUUUUAUUUAUUUCGACCAAACAAUGCAAACAAAAAAAAGAAAAAGAAAAAAAGAUUAAGCUAAUGAAAGGAACUAACCAAUUAUGCAGAAUAUUAAUCAGCAAUGAAGACCCCUUAAUCCAACUUUCGACCCGUACACAGCAAAAUAGCAAGUAUAGAGAAGCUUUUAUGUUUACCGAAAAACUAAAUUCUAUUUUUAAGAGUAGAGAACAAUAUAUAUUUUUUAGUAUUCAAGUAUUGAGCAAAGUCAAGACGUGAGAGAAUUCUCCUAUCGUUAGAAUGUCCGGAUCCCUUUUUUCUGAUGGCUAAAGCCUAUCUAUAAAAUAAAAAGAGAGUCUCUUUAUAUAGUGCAGGGGAGGGCACAAAUAAGGGAAAGAAAUAUUUUAAUUUUUUUUUAAAAUCCUUAUUAAAAAGGGAGCUAAUUCCGUAACAUAAUCCUAUAAUUAUCAAAAUAGAACUAGUAAGAGAUUUUCCAAUUUAAAAAUAAAAAAAAUAAAAAUCAAAUCGACUAGUAAGAGUCAAUCAUGCAAUCACCAAAUCAAUUUACCUUAAAUAAGGAGGAGAGAUCAUAUAAACAACAAUAUUAUAAAAUUAAGCUGAUCCAUAUAAGGAAAAGCAAGAAUUGACUUUACACUGUUCAAGGAAUAAUAAUACAUAAUUAAGGAAAUUAUAUCAAUAGAAGCAUUGUCCACAUAUGAUACUAUACAAGAAUCAGAUCCAUAAGUGUAUAUUGACAAGAAAAGUGGAAUAAUCAGUAUUAAAAUAAUCCUACGUUACCCAACUUACCCACAUUGAAUAAGGAGAAAAUCAAUCAAUUACGAGCAAAAUUAUCAAGCCAGCCUACAUUCGAAUUAUUUUGAUUCUAAUUUCAAAUAAGAAAAAUGUAAAGAUCCAUUAGGGUCUGAAGAUACUGAAAGUGUAUAUCAGUGAGCAAGCAAAAUCAGCUAAAACAGACGAAUUUUGAAAACACUUUUGAAGUAAAUCGAUGAACCUCCCAAAUGAAACUCAAGUUGAAUCAGGUGCAUGCUCAAUAAGCUAUCAAUCCAAGACUUUAUGCAUAAACCUCAUGAACGAAAUUUGCCAUUCAAACAACAAGCCAUACCAAGAAAAAUAUAAUCACAAUAGGCACAACAUAAGAUUGAGUAGAUGAAAUAAUAAUUGAUUGGAAGAAAAUACCGGAGACGGAUCUCAACAGAUCCGUUUUUCAUCGAUCCAAAUUUCGGACUUCACCGGAGCUCGCUUGGUCAAGGUUGCUGCCGGAGUCAGAUCUGUUGUUGCUGCUUCGGAGUUCUCGCAUGGCGCUGCUGGUCGUAGAUGUUGUUUCCGUCGGUGGAGCCUGCUCGCUGGAGCUGCUGGCUGUUGUUGUUCUGCAAAGAGAGGAGAGAAAAAAAAAAAAGAGAGAAAGAAAGGGGAGGCGGAGGGAGAGAAGGUGCCGGAGUUGCUGCUGGUCCGGUGGUCUGCUUGCUGUUUCGCCGGCUGCCGCAGCGAGAAGAGAGCGGAAGAGAGGGAGGUUCGCCGGCGUUUGCUGGUGCUGCUGCUUCUCUCGCCUGGUUGCUCGCCGGUGGAGCUGGCUGGCUUUGUCUCCUUCGAUGCUGGCCGUCAGUGAAGCUGGCUGGCUUUGUUUCCUUCGAUGCUGGCCGCCGGUGAAAAGAGGAGUGGCGGCGGCUUUAGAGAGGCGGGAAAUGAUGAAUGAAAAAUGAAUGUUAGGGUUGGUCUUUUGGUAGCUUAGAAAGGAAAGAGAAUGUUGAUUCGAUCUUGACCGUUGAUUUAAAUAAGAUGUAAGGCUGAGAUUUAAUAAAAAAGAUCAAGGGUUAGGAUUAAAAGAUGGGGUAUGAGAUUGGGGUUGAGUUUGGUUCGAAUUUGGUUAUAAUUGUAAUGAAUAGAAGGGCUAGAAUUGCAACCAAAUUGAAAUAAUAGGCUACACCUGAAAAGUGAAAUUGAAUAAGAAAAGGGCUACAAAUUAAAUAAAUUGGAAUAGGAUGGGCUAGAAUUGAAAGGAAUUAGAAUAAAAGAGGCUACAAUUUAAACAAUUUUGAGAAAAUUUGAAGGAAUGCUAUCCAAUUAAAAUACUACAAAAUACUAUAAUUAAAAUUACUUAAAAUUUUAAAACAUUUAAAUUAUUUCGAGUUAUACUAAUAAUUUUAAAAUAUUUUAAUAGUAUCUACAAUAAUUUUUAUAAAGUAUGCAUACUAAAUAUAUAAUUUUUUAGACAAAAUCGAUUAAAAUUUUAAAUUCAACAUAUUUUUUAAAAUACAUAUUUAAACAAAUAGCGUUUCCAAAAUUGCUAAAGGUCGGUCAAUAUUGGGUGUCAACAAAGCUGUUGACACCCAAUUUUGACCGACCUUUAACCCUUUUGGGGAUACUAUCCGAUUAAAUACGCAUUUUAAAACAUAUAUUGAUUUCUAAAAUUUUGGUCGACUUUGUCUAAAAAUUAUAUAUUUUUAGUAGGCUUGAUUUUAUAAAAAAUUAUCGUAAUUAAUAAUAAAUUAUUAUAUUUAUCGAUGGUUAAACUCGAAAUAAUUAUUUUUACUCAAAUGUUUUUUAAAUUUAGAUGCGUAUAAUUUGUUUUAAUAUAUGUAGUACUUUAAUUGGAUAGCAUUUCUUUGAUUUUCCUCCAAAUCAUUUAAAUCUUAGCCUAUAUUACUCUAAUUCCUUGCAAUUCUAGCCAUUCUAAUUCAAUUGUCAUUUCAAUUAUAGCCAUAUAGUUGAUUGCAAUUUUAGCCCUUUCUUAUCUCAAGUUUUCAGAUCUCAAAUAUCCUCCUUUAAUCGUAGUCGUCCAUCUAAAUUAGAUCAUCCAAGAUCAAAUUUCAUGCGUCCAUUCAAAUUUAAAUCGAUGGUCCAGAUUCGAUCCUCUUAUUUUCCUUUUUUAAAAACUAAAAGACUCCCAAACCUAAAACUUUAUUCACUCACUAUUCUCUCCUUUCUCUCUAGCUGCCGCCCCCUCUCUCUUUCUUUAUCCGACGGAGGAGCAGCAGCGCGAGAACCAGCAGGCGCUGGCCGCCUCCGUUCCUUUUUCGUUGGACAACAGCUCUACAAGGCAGUCCGGCAGUUCUACGGAGACAGCGAGGCAACAUUCUGUUUUCUCAAAACGGACCUUCCUUUCGGAUGCACGACCUAACAACUCUUUUGGGUUUUGAAAAAAUGAAGAGUCGUUACCUAACUAAUUAAGGCGUGUUAGGAAACCUAUCUAACCUAACUAAUUCUAAAUAAAGGUCAACAAACCAGAGAUCGGGUAAGGGUUCAAAUUACCUCGAGGGGAAGGUGUUAAGCAUCCCUCGAGGUCCACAAAAUGUGGGUCCUGGCCGUGUCUCAUGCAAUUUAUGUAGGGGUUACAAGUAGCAUUUAAGGUCACUUCAUUUAUUGGUUAUUUAAACAUGCUUGCUAAGUGAUAACUAAUAAUAAACUAUUAAGAUCAAUUUAUUUAUUUGUUAUUUAAUUAAACAUGCAAAACUAUGUGAUGACAUAAGACUAAAUAAUUCGCACAAAUAAAAUUUAAAAGAGAUAGCGAGAAGAUAGAAAGUAGACAACUAUAUAAGUAAAUAUCAUUUUUUAUUUAAUUAAACUACCCCAAAUAAAUAUAAGUAUAAACAGAUAAAGGGAGAAAGGAAAUGGAGACUCUGAAGGACUUUACGAAUCAGCACUCGACUUUUCUUUAUUUCGGUCGGUUACUCGUAAGGACAGACAAAACCAAGGUUUGUCAUUAAGACCGAGUCGAUGUCAUCAUCUUCAUAAGGCCUAAACUAACCCUACCCCACCACCGCAUGUUUUUCGUCUCUACAAGGUGCCUAUCGUCCCCGCUUCAGAUCCAAGAGGCAUUGGACUACUAUUAUGGUGGAUUUAGACUAAAAUAAACUCCUAAUAGUCCCACCUAGACACCAAGUCAAACAGUUUGGACGAGCAUUUAGUACGUAAAUCUCAUGUUGGCCUCUAGGUUUUUAUUUAGCACGCUAGCAAACACACGUAAAGUGAAAGGUCUCAUGCUUAAGUGUGUGCAUAGACGAACAAACACUCAAUAUAACAUAUAGAUUAAUUUUAAAUGGGCGAAAAUAUUACAAGUUAGGUAAAGCUUAUUAGACUGAUUAAAUUAGUAAUUAAUUUAAAAUGGGCACUUUAUAAUAAUGCAAAUGGACAAAAGUAUUUGAAAGCAAUAGCAAAUUAUUAAUGCUGAAAUGUUUAUUUCAAGUGGCAACAGUUUAUUAGACUGAUUUUAAAGGUUGCAGAAAAUUAUUACAAAAGGCCGAUUUUAGUUAUCAAUUGAUUUUUUUUAAAAAAGACAGAAAUAUUAUUGCAAGAGAGUGAUUUAAUAACUCUUUUUUAAAUGGUAGACAAAUUUAAUAUCGCAGUUACCAUGCAGGAGAAGAUAUUGAUUUAUUUUAAGUAGAAAUUACUUAUUUUAGAUAGAGAAUAUUCAUAGCAGACUAAAAAAAACAUACCGAAAAUUUAUUAGAAGCCUAUAAAUAUGCUAAUUAAGUGACUAACAGACUGAAAUUUUAUUAGCAACCUAAUAUAAAUUUAUUAGCUGGCAGGCUUAAGUUACUAAAACAUGCAGAAAUUAUUUGAACUAACUAGUUAGCAUCAUUGAUUUUAUUGUUUUAGUCCUAUAGGCAUGAUUUCUAGAUAAGAAAAGAGAAGUCACUCAAAACCUAUAUGCAUAAUUUCUACACCCAAAUAAUAUAUUAAGAAUUAUGUAACUCCUAUAGGCAUGGUAUCUAAGUGUGCACAAGUUGAAAUUUAUUUUCUUAGGCAUGUAUUAGAACUAUUUAAACAUAUAUGCAUAAAUACUACACUCAAAUAAAUGCUUUAAAAUUAUUUAAAUCCCUAUUGACAUAAUUUCUAAAAUGGCAGAAUUAUUGUAAAAAUAAAUUAUGACAAUAAUCACGCGUUAUUCAUUCAUUAUAUGUAAGGAGCUUGGUUUAAGUAAAUGAAGUAAGGAGCAGUCAUACAUUAUUUAUAUUUAUUAUUAGCGAUGAAGAAAGCGACCAUAUAAAUCAACUAAAGCAAGGUAUUUAACUACAUGGUUAAUUUUACACUAAAAUUAGGCAAGCUUUAAGUAGGUGAUUGGUGACAAGUAAUUGAUUUUAUUUUAGACAGAUCUUGAGUGCAAAUAUUAGAAUGGGAACGAUCAAACAGAACACACUCCUAUAGGCAUGCUUUCUAAUAACAAGUAAGUUUGCGACAAAGUAGCAAUUAGCAUGUAAACCCCUUCCCCUUGGACGGUCCCCGAGAUUAUUUCAUAUAUAUAGAGAGUGUUACUACAAAAUUAUUACAACGCCAAAUAAAAUAAUACAAAUAUUAUAAACACGAAUGAAAACUAGAUCCCAUCUGAAAGACUCAUCCCUGGUGACUCUUUGAACUUGAAACCAAGUCCAAACCUGCUAAAGUGAGAUACAGACAAAUAUAUGGCAUACAAUAAUAUAAUAUAAUAAAACAAUAGCACUAAUUACGGGCAGAUUCAACAUAUGCGCAUGUUCAUUUUAUACAUAUUCGGCAAAACAAGCAUUUAGACAAGUAAAGCAUAACGACAAAUAUAAUAUCACACAGAGAGCGAGGAGAGAGCAAAAACUGACCCAGAUGUUCCCUUUUUAUUUCAUUUUUUCAAACACACAACAACAUUCGUAAUAAAAUAAUACAAGACGAAAUUUAAACUAAUGAAGAAGAGCUAACCGAUUAUGCAGAAAGUUUUAUCAGCAAUGAAGUAUUUUAGCAAAAUAUCCAAACCUAAUCAGCUACACAGCAACACAGCAAAGCGAGAGCAGUUCAAUGCUUUAGAAUUCUUUUCUUUUAAACCGUAAAGUAUUUUUUUUCUUUUUAGUGUUAAGAAUGUGUAAGAAUGUUCAACCGUGUGAUGGUUCUAGCCUCAGAAGCAAACGAAACUCCUAAAAAUUGAAAGAGGGGUACGGUAUUCGCACGGAAACGGUAUUGGCUUGAAUGGAUAGGAAUAGAGUAGCGAGAAAGGCAUGAUAAAGAUAUUUCUGAUUUAAGACCGAAGAAUCCGAUAAAGAGGAGGUAAUAUGAGUAGCUAAGGAUUAAAUGAAAAAGUGUGAUACGAGUAGCAAGGAGUUUGAUGGGGCCUUUGUUGCAAUAAAUGUAAGCAUGACAAUCGUAGCCAAGAGAGAGAUUGAUCUCGUAUGCAAAAUGUCAGUCUCUGCAGAUCUGUAGCUUUUAAUAUGAUUAGAGCAAGUAUAUCAAACUAACGAUAAAGGUAAACAUGAUGCAAUUUCCCAUAUCGACAAUGAUGUUUACCUUAAGACUAUGAAAAUGAUGUCUUAGGCUAUGAUGUCUAGGGCCAUGAUACGCAAAAUUUAUAUCCUCAGGUCAUGCAAAUGUUGUCUGUUGGCAAUGAAAAAUGAUGCCCUUAGACUAUGACACCUACGGAUCAUGAUAAGCAGAAAGUAAAUCCUUAGGCCAUGAUAUGAUGUCCGCAGGCCAUGAAAUAUGAUGCCUUUAGACCAUGACGCCUUAGGAAUGUGAGUAAUGAGUAAAGAAAGUGUAUCUGUAAUUCAGGCAUCUAUAGCUGGAUUGGAAUUUAUUCGGGCACAUGCAAUUCUCCAGAACAAUGCAAUCUUGGGCACAUGCAAUUCGGGCACAAUGCAAUCUUCGGGCACAUGCAGUCUUCGGGCACAAUGCGAUCUCUAGCACAAUGCAAUCUCGGGCACAUGCAAUCUCGGGCACAAUGCAAUCUUCGGGCACAAUGCAAAUUGGGUAAAUGCAGUCUUCGGGCACAAUGCGAUCUCAGGCACAAUGCAAUCUCGGGCACAUGCAAUGAUGUAAUUCUCGGGCACAUGCAAUAUCGGGCACAAUGCAAUUCUCGGGCACAUGCAAUAUCGGGCACAAUGCAAUUCUCGGGCACAUGCAAUAUCGGGCACAAUGCAAUUCUCGGGCACAUGCAAUAUCGGGCACAAUGCAAUUCUCGGGCACAUGCAAUAUCGGGCACAAUGCAAUUCUCGGGCACAUGCAAUAUCGGGCACAAUGCAAUUCUCGGGCACAUGCAAUAUCGGGCACAAUGCAAUCUCGGGUUCAAUGCAGUCUCGGGCACAAUGCAAAUCUUCGGGCACAUGCAUAAUAGUCGUUUGAGGGCAUAGAAUAUCUUGGACCUUCGCCUUGUUAGAAGGGUUGAGUGUCGUUUGUCGACAAUUUUUUAGUUCAGAAUAUUGUAGCUUUGACCCUUCUUCCUAUUGUAAGGAGUUGGUGCAGUUGAAUGUUGAUUUGUCGGGCUUGAUAUGGAGUAGUCUGAUCCUUUUGUCUGAUUAGAAGGAUAGGGUACAAUUGAUUGGCGAUUGUCGGGCUCAGAAUAACUUGGUCCUUCAUCCUGUCGGAAGGAUAGUACGCCAUUUGACUGGUGAUUUGGGCUCAGUAUAGAGUAGUUUGGUCCUUCCCAUUGUUGGAAGGUCAAUGUGCCAUUCGUUGGUGAUUUUCGAGCUCUGAAUAAUGUAGCUUGAUCACACUUCCUAUUGAAAGGACGGAAUGCCAUUGAUUAGCGAUUUGUCAGAUAUAUCGACACAUUGAUCCUUCAAGUGGUGUUGAAAUUGCCUCUUGUAUAUGUACUUGUCUUUUCUGCAUUCAAAGAAAAAUAAUUAGAUAAAGGGGAGGUUGAUCUGUAUCCCUGAUUCGGCACAAUAUGCUUCUCUGAUGUCUGCUCGUAUGUCCUUUGAAAUGUUGUCGAAAAUUUUGAGGUCCUCCUCAAAAUUUUCUGCCACAGUGUAGAAUUUCUUCUAUUCUGAUUUUUGUUGAAGAUUGUAGCUUGAUUGCUGUGAAUUUUUGAGACCCCUUCAAAAAUUUUGCCCCAGUCUUGAUAUGAACAAAAAAUGCUCGUUUGAAGGAAUUUUAGAGACCCUCUCAAAAAUUCUGCCCCAGUUACUGAUUUGUGAGAAGAAAUGCUUUUGAUGAAAUUUUUGAGUUCCUCUCAAAAAUUCUGCCCCAGUAUCGUGAUUUGCAAAAAGAUGUCCUUCUGAUUGAAUUUUUGAUACCUUCUCAAAACUUCUGCCCCGGUUAAACAGCAAAAAGGGGAAAAUGAAAUUUUUAUUAUGAUAUAACCGAACUCCAUAUGAGCGCCUAUGUAUCCCCUCUUAAACGGGAAUAUGGUCUGACGUAUUUCCAAUUACAAAGCAUAAGACAUUAAACAGAGCAUCAUUAAGCAACACUGAAAUGAUAGAUUUUGACUAACUUUAUUGCCCAUAUGCUAACAUGGGUACUUUCCUUGUCUGAAUGUAGAAAACUUGAACUUUCAAUGGCGCAAGCCUUAUUGGAAACUGCUUCGAAUGAGCUUCGACAUGUUCACUGUUGGGGUUCCACUGGCGCGAAGUCCUCCAAGCAUAUGAUCCUGGUAUCAAUCAAUUGUUGAAUCUUGUCUUUCAGAUCACGACAUUCUUCUAUGGUAUGUCAUUUCAUCCCUGAGUGAUAAGCACAAACCUUAGAGGAUUCAACCCACCUUGCACGUGUAUUCAUCUUUAUUUCACUGAUAGAAGCGAUGUGACCAGCAAGCCUCAACUUUUCAUAGAAUUGAUNNNNNNNNNNNNNNNNNNNNNNNNNNNNNNNNNNNNNNNNNNNNNNNNNNNNNNNNNNNNNNNNNNNNNNNNNNNNNNNNNNNNNNNNNNNNNNNNNNNNNNNNNNNNNNNNNNNNNNNNNNNNNNNNNNNNNNNNNNNNNNNNNNNNNNNNNNNNNNNNNNNNNNNNNNNNNNNNNNNNNNNNNNNNNNNNNNNNNNNNNNNNNNNNNNNNNNNNNNNNNNNNNNNNNNNNNNNNNNNNNNNNNNNNNNNNNNNNNNNNNNNNNNNNNNNNNNNNNNNNNNNNNNNNNNNNNNNNNNNNNNNNNNNNNNNNNNNNNNNNNNNNNNNNNNNNNNNNNNNNNNNNNNNNNNNNNNNNNNNNNNNNNNNNNNNNNNNNNNNNNNNNNNNNNNNNNNNNNNNNNNNNNNNNNNNNNNNNNNNNNNNNNNNNNNNNNNNNNNNNNNNNNNNNNNNNNNNNNNNNNNNNNNNNNNNNNNNNNNNNNNNNNNNNNNNNNNNNNNNNNNNNNNNNNNNNNNNNNNNNNNNNNNNNNNNNNNNNNNNNNNNNNNNNNNNNNNNNNNNNNNNNNNNNNNNNNNNNNNNNNNNNNNNNNNNNNNNNNNNNNNNNNNNNNNNNNNNNNNNNNNNNNNNNNNNNNNNNNNNNNNNNNNNNNNNNNNNNNNNNNNNNNNNNNNNNNNNNNNNNNNNNNNNNNNNNNNNNNNNNNNNNNNNNNNNNNNNNNNNNNNNNNNNNNNNNNNNNNNNNNNNNNNNNNNNNNNNNNNNNNNNNNNNNNNNNNNNNNNNNNNNNNNNNNNNNNNNNNNNNNNNNNNNNNNNNNNNNNNNNNNNNNNNNNNNNNNNNNNNNNNNNNNNNNNNNNNNNNNNNNNNNNNNNNNNNNNNNNNNNNNNNNNNNNNNNNNNNNNNNNNNNNNNNNNNNNNNNNNNNNNNNNNNNNNNNNNNNNNNNNNNNNNNNNNNNNNNNNNNNNNNNNNNNNNNNNNNNNNNNNNNNNNNNNNNNNNNNNNNNNNNNNNNNNNNNNNNNNNNNNNNNNNNNNNNNNNNNNNNNNNNNNNNNNNNNNNNNNNNNNNNNNNNNNNNNNNNNNNNNNNNNNNNNNNNNNNNNNNNNNNNNNNNNNNNNNNNNNNNNNNNNNNNNNNNNNNNNNNNNNNNNNNNNNNNNNNNNNNNNNNNNNNNNNNNNNNNNNNNNNNNNNNNNNNNNNNNNNNNNNNNNNNNNNNNNNNNNNNNNNNNNNNNNNNNNNNNNNNNNNNNNNNNNNNNNNNNNNNNNNNNNNNNNNNNNNNNNNNNNNNNNNNNNNNNNNNNNNNNNNNNNNNNNNNNNNNNNNNNNNNNNNNNNNNNNNNNNNNNNNNNNNNNNNNNNNNNNNNNNNNNNNNNNNNNNNNNNNNNNNNNNNNNNNNNNNNNNNNNNNNNNNNNNNNNNNNNNNNNNNNNNNNNNNNNNNNNNNNNNNNNNNNNNNNNNNNNNNNNNNAGAAAAUGAAUAUGUCACAACAUCCGCUUAAACAGUGACCGAAUUAAUUGAUAAUUAAAGCAGGACAUAUUAUUUUAAAACCGAUUUCAUACUGGAAAUUAACAAUGCCUAUGAACAUGAUUUCUAUGUGAUCAGAACGCUGCAUUACACCUAUAGGCAUGAUUUACUAACCCCAAACAACAUAUACGAUAAAAGAAAUAAUCCUUAGGCAUGAUUUCUAGCGGCGAGCAAACUGGACAUUAUAUAUUCAGAAAAACAUAUAGGUAUAGUUCCUAAACAUGCUGUGAAAUUAUUAAAACUUGAUUAAUUGACAGGAUUAAAUUAUUAAACAUACUGAAUUAUUAGGACUAAUUGAUUAACCUAAGCAAGCAAGCACUUCAGACAGUUUAAAUUUUAAUUAAAUUUUUUGUCAUACUGUUCUUAAACAAGCAGGAAAUAUUAAAGCAAGUACAGAGCAGAAGGUAAUCAUAUUAAUUUUAUUUAAUAAAAUAUGCCGGCAAAUGACUUUACAUUAUUAUUAUUAUUUAUUCUUUUUGAAGCAAAAUAUACACAAAAUUAACUCAUUAUAUUUUACAUGCAAGAAAUUAAUUAAUGACGCCUAUGAAUAUGAACUCUAACCCAAAAAUCGAUCAAAUUAUUUAAACCUUAUAGGCAUGACAUCUAAAUAUAUUACUAGUCAGAUAAUAUAAACAAUGACAAAAUUAUAAACAGAAUUGAUUUUAGACCAAUUUUAAAAUAUAUUCUAAUGUGCUUGACUAAUUUACUAUUUGAGCAAACAUAGACAAAUUUUAACAACUACACGUAUUAACAUGAAAUAAAUAAGUAAAACAGUUAGCACAUAAUUCCCCUCCCCCCUUAGAUGAUUCCCCAAGUUAUUUUAUAUAUAGGAGAGAGUUAGAGUUAUACAACAUUAUUACAAAACCGAAUAAACUCCAAAUAAAAUAAAAGCUCCAAUCCGAUAUCCCUUCUCAUGGCAACUAUUCGACUUUCAAACUCAUAUAACCUGCUAAAUAAAGUAGAUAAAGCAGCACCAACAUACAAUAAAAUAAAAUUUAUUUAAUGGGCAGAAGCUGCACCAACAUUCACAUUCAAACAAAUGAUAAACUCAACAAAAUAAUCAUCACAAAAGAGGGAGAAAGAAACUGACCUAGGGCGCUUCCUUUAUUAUUUCAAACAACACAUAGUACGAACAAUGCAAAAAAAAAAUUAAACUAGUGAACAGAACUAACUAGUUAUGCAGAAAUAUUUAUCAGCAAUGAAGACCCAAUUUUAUUCGUUACUAGACCCGAACGCAGCAAAAUCUAGUAGAAAAACCCUUAAAAUUAUUCACCGGAGUAUUAAUUCUUUUAAGAGUAGAGAGCAAUAUUUUUUUAAAAUAUUCCAGUGUAAGCUCUUUUAGUAUGUGAGCAAAAGUCAAGGCCGCUAAAUAAUGAAGGGAAGGGUCCUUUAUAUACUACUAGAGUACGGACAAAAUAAGGAAAAAAAAUCAAGGAGCCAAUUAUAACAUGCUCUCCUUAAACAAAAAGGAAUAUAAAAUCAGUCCCAUAUUUAUUUAUUCUUUUUUUUACCAAAUAUAAACGAGUAAGAAAUCUAGCAACUUUUAAUUAAGGUAUAAGGAAUCAAUUAACAGACAAUAAUAUGCAAAAAAAAAUCAAGUAAGACAUAUAAUAAUUAAUACAAGAAGGGUGAUAAUUAUAGCUCAAAAAAUAUAUCAAUAUACAUUUACCAUAGCUGGACAUGAUUUCACUAAAAUAAAUAAAUGCAUCUUAUUAAUUAACUUAAUUAAGGUAGAAAAAUCAAUUAACACAAGUCAGCAAAUUAAUAAAAAUUACAGAAAAUCAAAGCACAUAAUUUAAAGGAAAGGAAUAAAAUCAGUACAAACAAAUUAUCUCGUUGGGAUUGCUUACUAUAAUUAAAACAUAGAGUCAUUUUCAUGAUUAAAUACAUUAUCCAAAAGUCAAGUACCAAUACACAUUUUAAAGUUGAUUUUCAACAAUUAGAUAAACAUAUAUGACCUAGCAGAUCCUAAUUAACGCUAAAAAAAAAGAACAAAUCCAUUAAUGGUAAUCAACAAAUCAAUAUGAGAUCAGUAGUGAGUUAUUGAGCUAAGAAAAAAUUAUCGGAGAGUUGCUUGAAUUAAUCCUUAAUCACAAAUUUUGGCAAAUCAACCCAUUUACAGGAUGUCUUACUAAAUUAGUUUAGUAAUCAACAACGGUAACUAAACACACAUCUUAAAUCACAAUAGAACAUAAUGACAUUUUAACAAAGCUAAAAUAUACAUGCUUCCGGCGUUCAGAAAAUAACUAAGAAAUGGUCAUAAGAUCAACAAUUAACAAGGAAUCGCAUCAACCUCACAAGCAUAAAAUCAUUAUUUCGAAAAUAACUUAGGUAAUGAAUUGAACGAGAAAAUGAAUCCGAACGGAUCUGAAAAUAUCCGUUUUCAACAAGCCAAAAAUCAUAAAGUUUUGGUCCCUGUAAACGUUAUCCAAGGUGUUGUCUCCACCGGGAGAAGAGAAGAGGAGAGCGGAGGAAACAGUUGCUGGCCAGAAUAUGCCGAUGUCGUUGUUCUCGCCGGAGCUGUUGUUUUGCUCGCUGCGUGCUGCUGUUGUUGCAGGUGGUUUCACCGUCACUGCUGUUCGGAGCAAGCUCUCACGCUAGUGUGCCUGGCUGCUGAUUGGAGUCAGCUGGAGUUGUUGGUUGGAGCUAGUGUCCGCCACUGCUGCUCGCCGGAGAAAUGAAGGGGAAGAGUAGGCUGAUGCUGCCUCGCUAUCUCUGUAGCGCUGUCGGACUGCCUCGUCGAGCUGCUGUCCAACGAAAAAGGAACGGAGGCGGCCAGCAAUUGCUGGUUCUCGCGUUGUUGCUCCUCCACCGGAUAAGAAAGAGAGAGGGGGGCGAUGGCUAGAGAGAGAGGAGAGAAUAGUGAGUGAAUAAAGUUUUAGGUUUGGGAGUCCUUUAGUUUUAAAAAAGGAAAUAAGAGGAUCGAAUCUGGACCAUCGAUUUAAAUUUGAAUGGACGCAUGUGAUUUAAUCUUGGAUGAUCUGAUUUAAACGGACGGCUACGAUUAAAGGAGGAUAUUUGAGAUCUGGAAACUUGAGAUAAGAAAGGGCUAAAAUUGCAAUCAACUAUAUGGCUAUAAUUGAAAUGACAAUUGAAUUAGAAUGGUUAGAAUUAUAAGGAAAUAGAGUAAUAUAGGCUAAGAUUUAAAUGAUUUGGAGAAAAACCAAAGAAAUGCUAUCCAAUUAAAGUACUACAUAUAUUAAAACAAAUUAUACGCAUCUAAAUUUAAAAAACAUUUGAGUAAAAAUAAUUAUUUCGAGUUUAACCAUCGAUAAAUAUAAUAAUUUAAUAUUAAUUACGAUAAUUUUUUAUAAAAUCAAGCCUACUAAAAUAUAUAAUUUUUUAGACAAAGUCGACUAAAAUUUUAGAAAUCAAAAUAUGUUUUAAAAUGCGUAUUUAAUCGGAUAGCAUCCCUAAAAGGGUUAAAGAUCAUUCAAAAUUGGGUGUCAACAGCUGCCCCUUGGUUGCUUGAGAAUGAAGGAUGAAUUGUCGGGCAACCAAUCGUUGACUUAGUAGCCGAUUUUGUCCGACGAGGGAUGUCAGCGGGAUCAAUUGAAAUGAUAUAGAGUUGAAAAAGUGGUAAAAUCGAGACUUUGGUAUUAAGCCGCUUACAUAUCUCUAGUUAUAUGAGAAUCAGGUCGUGUGUAGUUCUAGACUCAAGAGCAGACGAAACUCCUAAGAAUUGAAAGAGCGGUACGGUAUUCGAACGAGAAUGAUAUUGGCUUGAAUGGAUAGGAUUAGAGAAGCGAGAAAGGUAUGACAGAGAGAUUUUCAGUUUAAGGGAAGAAUCUGAUGAUAAACGAUAAUAUGAGUAGCCAAGGGUUAAAUGAAAAAAAAUGGUAGUAUGAGCAGCAAAGAAUUUGAUAGGGCAUUUGUUGCAAUAAAUAUAAGCACGAUAAUCGUAGCCCAGAGGUGAUGAAUGUCUUAUCUGCAAAAUGUUAGUUUCUGCAAAUCUGUAGCUUGUAAUAUGACUAAAGCAAAUAUUUCAAACAAAUGGUAAAAGUAAACAUGCUGUAAUUCCCAUAUCGAUCAUGAUGUUUGCCUUAAGACUAUGAAAAAUGAUGUCUUAGGCUAUGAUGUCUAGGGCCAUGAUACGCAAAAUUUACAUCAUCAAGUCAUGCAAAUGUUGUCUGUGGGCCAUGAAAAAUGAUGCCCUUAGACUAUGACACAUUCAGAUCAUGAUAAGCAAAAGUAAAUCCUUAGGCCAUGAUAUGAUGUCCGCAGGCCAGGAAGAAUGAUGCCUUUAGACCAUGACGCCUUAGGAAUAUAAAUAAUGAGUAAAGAAAGCAUAUCUGUAAUUCGAGCAUCUGUUGAUACUUGUAGCUUGAUUGGAGUUUAUUCGGGCAUAUGCAUUUCUCGAGCACAAUGCAUUCUCGAGCACAUGCAAUUCUGGCACAAUGCAAUCUUCGGGCACAAUGCAAAUCGGGCACAAUGCAAUCUUCGGGAACAUGUAAUAUCGGGCACAAUGCAAUCUUCAGGCUCAUGCAAUAUCGGGCACAAUGCAAUUCUCGGGCACAUGCAAUAUCGGACACAAUUCAAUUCUCAGGCACAUGCAAUAUCGGGCACAAUGCUAUCUUCGGGUACAAUGCGAUUCUCGAGCACAUGCAAUAUCGGGGACAAUGCAAUCUUCGGGCACAUGCAAUAUCGGGCACAAUGCAAUCUUCGAGCUCAUGCAAUAUCGGGCACAUGCAAUUCUCAGGCUCAUGCAAUAUCGAGCGCAAUGCGAUUCUCGGGUACAUGCAAUAUCGGGAACAAUGCAAUCUUCGGGCUUAUGCAAUAUCGGGCACAAUGCAAUCUUCAGGCUCAUGCAAUAUCGGGCACAAUGCAAUCUUCGGGCACAUGCAAUAUCGAACACAUGCAAUUAUUGGGCACAAUAUAGUUCUUGGGCUCACGCAAUAGUUGAUUAAAGGCAUAGACCUUCGCCUUAUUGAAAGGAUUGAGUGUCAUUUGUUGAUGAAUUCAGAAUAUUGUAGCUUUGACCCUUUGUCCUAUUGUAAGGACUGAGUGCAGUUGAAUGUUGAUUUGUCGGGCUUGAUAUAAAGUAGCUUAAUUCUUUCAUCUGAUUGGAAAGAUGUACCAAUAAUUAGCGAUUUGUCGGGCUCAAAAUAACUCGGCCCUUCAUUCUGUCAGAAGGAUAGUAUGCCAUUUGACUGGCGAUUCGUCGAGAUUAAUAGCGGUCAAGCGAUGUUGAAGUUGUCUUUUGUAUCUGUACCUGUCUUUCCUAUAUUCAAAGAAAAAUUAUGAGUUUAAAAAUGGGGGAGGUUGAUCUGCUCCGACUGAUGUGCUCCCUUUGGCUUGCCAUCCAGACCUUUCCGAGCAUUUGCUUUGUAAAAUAGAAGGAGAGAGAGUUUUCGAAAAAGUUUUUUUGAAAAUAUUAGUUUGUAAAAAGUAAAGUUGAAUCUUUGACCAUGGCACAGUUUGAGACAUUACAACAUCUGACUCAGUAGCAAAUCUGCUAUCUGAUCUUUGUUGAAGAUUGUAGCUUGAUUGCUGUGAAUUUUUUAGACCCUUUCAAAAAUUCUUCCCAGUCUUGAUUUGUGCAGAAAAUGCUCGUUUGAAGGAAUUUUUGAGACCCUCUCAAAAAUUCUGCCCCAUUUACUGAUUUGAGAGAAGAGAUGAUUUUGAAGGAAUUUUUGAGUUCCUCUAAAAAAAUCUGCCCCAGUAUCGUGAUUUGCAAGAAGAUGUCCUUCUGAUGGAAUUUUUUAGAUCCUCUCAAAAAUUCUGCCCCAGUUACACAGUCAAAAGGGGAAAAUGAAUUUUUUAUUAUUAUAUGAUCGAACUCCAUAGGAGCACCUACGUAUCCCCUCUUAAACGGGAAUCAGGUCUGACGUAGUUCCAAAUACAGAGUAAAAGCGCAUGAAACAAACUUAGAUGUAAUAUCUCUUCACAGCAUCUGAGUUGAUAGGUUUGGGCCAAACUUCUCCAUCCAUUUCUGCAAGUAUGAGGGCUCCGACUGUCAAUACCCGAGAGACUAUGUAUGGGCCUUGCCAGUUUGGUGAGAAUUUACACCUUGCUUCAUCUUGAUUUGGGAAAAUCCGCUUCUAAACCAAUUGCCCAGGUGAGAAAUGUCUGGGUCUAACCUUUUUGUUGAAAGCUCUGGCCAUUCUAUUUUGAUAGAGUUGACCAUGACAAAUGGCGUUAAUUCUUCUUCCAUCUAUUAAUGCCAGAUUCUCCGCCCGAACUUAUAUCCAUUUAGCAUCACUCAACUCCGGUUCCUGAAUAAUCCUUAGAGAUUGUAUCUCUACUUCAGCAGGUAUCACAACUUCAUUAUCAUAUACUAGAAAAUAAGGCGUAGCCCCAGUAGAAGUUCUGAUGGUGGUACGAUAUCCUAGCAAUGCAAAUGGUAGCUUUUCAAGCCAGUGUCUAUGAUUGUCGAUCAUUUUGCGUAAUAUCCUCUUGAUGUUCUUGUUUGCAGCCUCAACAGCUCCAUUCAUCUGUGGUCUAUAUGUUGUAGAAUUCCGAUGACUGAUCUUGAAUUUCUCACACAAUGAUCUCAUCAAAUCACUAUUUAGAUUGGUUCCAUUAUCAGUGAUGAUUGACUCAGGAAUUCCAAAUCUACAGAUGAUGUUAUUUUUUACAAAGUCAUCCACAACCUUCUUUGUCACUGAUUUGUGAGAGGUGGCUUCGACCCAUUUGGUGAAGUAGUCGAUUGCAACCAGAAUGAAUCUAUGUCCAUUGGAUGUUGUUGGCUCGAUUGGACCAAUGACGUCCAUGCCCCAAGUUGCAAAGGGCAAAGGUGAACUACUAACAUGGAGUUCGUUGGGUGGAACUAGGAUCAUAUCUGUAUGAGUCUGACAUUGGUGAUAUUUUUGAACAUAGCGGAUAUAGUCUGUCUCCAUAGUUGGCCAGAAAUGUCCCGAUCUCAGGAUCUUCUUUGCAUGUAAAACCAUUCAUGUGAGGACCACAUGUUCCUGCAUGUAUCUCUUCAAUCAGUCCGCUAGCUUCUCCAGCUUCGACGCACCUUAGCAACCCCAAGUCGGGAGUCCUCCUAUAAAGGAUUUCUCCACUUAGAAAGAAUUGAUUCGCUAACCUCCGAAUUGUACUCUUUUGUACACUUGUUGCAUCCUCUGUAUACUCACCGCUCUUCAAAUAUCCUCGAAUAUCAUCGUACCAAGGCUUUCAAUCAGACUAUUCCUCAACAUGAAAACAGUAUGCUGGUUACUCGUAUAUGUGGAUGUAAAUAGGAUCAAUGUAAUUAUGAUCAGGAUGCUGAAUCAUGGAAGACAAAGUGGCUAAGGCAUCUGCGAAUUCAUUCUGGAUCCUUGGCACAUGUUUGAAUUCUGCCUUGAUGAACCUUUUACACAACCUAUCCACUUUCGAUUCUUGGUAGCCUAUUCGCCUCGGACCUGAUGAAUCAAUAGGUCUGAAUCUCCUAUUAUCAACAUUUCCUGGAUAUCCAAGUCGAUAGCACGUCGGAGCCCCAAUAUGCAAGCUUCAUAUUCAGCUAUAUUAUUUGAGCAAAGGAACCUGAGUUUGGCUGAUACCGGACAAUGGUGCCCAGUUGGUGAGAUCAAAACAGAUCCGAUGCCGGAUCCGCUCAAGUUCUUAGCUCCAUCAAAGAACAUCCUCCAACCAUUAUAUUCUUCAUAAAUGUCCCCCGACAAAAGCUACUUCUUCGUCUGGGAAGUAAGUCUUCAACGGUCUAUAAUCAUUAUCUACAGGGUUCUCCGCUAUAUGAUCUGCUAAUGCCUGUGCCUUCACUGCUUUCUGUGUAACAUACACUAUGUCAAACUCGCUCAGUAAUAUCUGCCAUUUAGCCAGUUUACCUGUAGGCAUGGGCUUUUGAAAGAUAUACUUAAGAGGAUCCAUCCUUGAAAUCAUAUAAGUAGUGUGCGAAGAGAGGUAAUGUCGCAGUUUCUGGGUGACCCAAGUUACAGCACAACAGGUACGCUCCAAUAGAGAGUAUCGAGCCUCGUAUGAUGUAAACUUCUUGCUCAUGUAAUAUAUCGUCUGCUCCUUCUUUCCAGUUUCAUCAUGUUGCCCCAAAAUGCAGCUGAAAGCAUUAUCCAACACUGAUAUGUAUAACAACAGUGGUCUACCAGAUUCCGGUGGAACCAACACAGGUGGAUUGGACAAGUAAUCUUUGAUUUUGUCAAACGCUUGUUGACAUUUGUCUGUCCAUUUCACCGCAGCAUCCUUCUUCAAUAGCUUGAAGAUAGGCUCACAAAUGACAGUAGAUUGGGCUAUGAAACGACUGAUGUAAUUGAGUCAUCCCAAGAAACUCAUUACCUCCUUCUUACUCUUCGGCGGAGGUAAAUCACGAAUGACUUUGAUUUUUGAUGGAUCCAAUUCUAUACCCCCGGCGGCUGACAAUGAAACCCAGAAGCUUUCCAGCAGGAACCCCAAAGACACAUUUUGCAGAAUUCAACUUCAAGUUAUACUUGCGUAGUCUGGCAAAGAACUUUCAAAGAUCAUCCAGAUGAUUUGAACCCUUCUUUGAUUUGAUGAUGACAACAUCCACAUAAACUUCAAUUUCCUUGUGGAUCAUGUCGUGAAACAGGGUGGUCAUUGCCCUCAUGUAUGUAGCCCCAGCAUUCUUUAAACCGAAAGGCAUUACCUUGUAGUUGUAGACACCCCACGGUGUGAUGAAACCAGUUUUCUCAGCAUCGUCCUUGUGCAUCUCAAUUUGAUGAUAGCCGGCAAAGCAAUCCACGAAUGAUUGUGUUUCAUGCUUAGCAUAGUUAUUAAUCAAGAUGUGUAUGUUGGGCAAUGGAAAAUUAUCUUUGGGACUAGCUUUGUUGAGAUCCCGAUAAUCCACACAAACUCUAACCUUUCCGUCUUUCUUGGGCACUGGAACGACAUUUGCAAGCCAAGUCGGGUACUUUGUCACUUGAAGGAUUCCAGCAUCUAAUUGCUUUGAUAUUUCUUCCUUGAUUUUCAAACUCAACUCAGGCUUGUAUUUCUCAGCUUCUGCUUCACAGGAGGACAUGCUGGAUCAGUGGGCAAUCGAUGAGCUACGAUUGAAGUGCUUAACCCUGUCAUGUCUGCAUAGGACCAGGCGAAGAUAUCCUUAUUCUCCAUGAGACACUCUGUAUACUCGUUCUUAUCAUCUUCCGUCAUAUGGAUGCUUACUCGGGUCUCCUGUGCCACUUCUGAAUUUCCUAGAUUUACCACCUCUGUUUCCACUAAAUUCGGGUUGGGCUUUUCCUCGAAUUCCUCAACCUUUCUGAUUAACUCUUCAGGGACCUCACUUUCUUCGACUUCCUCUAAGUCAUUAAUGUUAAGUUGUGCAGUCUCAUUAUAUGCCAUAGUCUCAAAUUCAACAUUUUUAUAACAAAUUUUGCUGCAAGAAAGAAUAACGCACAAAUAAAUAUAAGAUAUUAAAUAGAUGGGAAAAAAACUUUAUUGAUUAAAACUCAAGAGUUUCAUAAAAACUAGCAUUUGAAAACAAUAACAGAGAACUGGAAUUUAAAACUGUUUAUUGAAACUUUUAAAAUUUGAUAGGAAAACUUCUUCCAAAGCUACCCAGAUGCCCGACGAGGUUUGGAUAGAGUUGAGGUUCAAAUGUUGAUGUUGAUCUUCGCUUCACUGCUUCCUCUAGGGUCCCCUUUCUCCUCCUCGUUGAUCACGACAUUGCAGCCUUUUCCUUCCUCUUUGGUCAAAGACAAACUUUUCAUGUCUUCUAGAACCUCAUCAAUGAUGCCACCCAUGAAACCUGUUGAUCGAAAUGAUUGUUGCAAUGGUGAUAUGGGUUUAUUCAAUGGAUAGUAGUACCCAUCUCUAGGUGGUUGCCAAUCAAGCCACUCCUCAGUAGUAUAUUUGUAUCCCAGGCCGAAAGUGGUUGAAUGACGAACGGGUUAUAUAGGUUCAACUAUUCCUUGUUGAUUGGCUCCAAACCUUUGCCGAGCUCAAAACCAAACCAGGCCAUCAUAUCUAUGAUCUUCUGGCUAAACCAAGGUUGCACUUCAGUGUUGCCAACAAGCUCAACUGUAUAGUACAUCUCACCGUCUAGAUGACCCCUUCCUUCUAUCGCAUAUACAGGAUGUCCCUUUUCCCCGUGGACUACAACCUCUUCGUGAUCCCAUUCAAACUUCAAGCAUUGAUGAAGAAUAAAGGGAACUGCUCCAGCCAUAUGAAUCCAAGGAUGACCCAGCAAUAAGUUAUAUGAGGAUGGAAUGUCCAAGACCUGGAAAGCUAUUGGGAAAUGCAGGACCAAUGAGCAUGUCCAAGGUUAUUUCCCCAAUAGUACCCCUCUGAGAGCCAUCAAAAGCUCUCACAUUCAUCUUCCAGGUUUGGAUCUUUGCACUAUCCACGCCUAGCCUUGUCAACGUGCUCAGAGGGCAGAUAUUCAAACCGGAGCCUGAAUCAACCAAGGCUUUGGUGAUUAUCUUGUCAUGAUAUUGAGCUGAAAUGUACAAAGCCUUAUUGUGGGUUGUUCCUUCAAGUGGCAACUCAUCUUCGUGAAAAGAUAUUCGGUAUGCCUCAAAAACCUGCCCGACCAUUUGGGCUACCUCUCCAUGAGUGAUGCUAGAUGGGACAUAGGCUUCACCCAGGACCUUCAAUAGAGCGUUUCGAUGAGUUUCGAAAGAUUGAAGCAAUGACAAGAUUGAUAUUUGGGACGGGGUUUUACUCAAUUGAUCAACAAUAGAGUACUCUUUAGCUUCUGCCUUCUUCCAGAUACUAUGAUCUUCAAACUCUACAAUUGGUGCCUUGGACUUGCUGGAGCUACCUUGAACCAAAUUUUUGGAAGUGUAAAUUCUUCCAGAUCUAGUCACUCCUGCUGCAGUGUCUGCUUCUUCCACUUUCGCCUUUCCCUUUCCAUAAUCCCAUGGGACAACACGGGGUAUCAAAUUGGGGAGGAGAAGGAGCUCUGAGGACGCUGAAUGGGAGCUUGGGUAUGGCAACCUCAACCUCAAAUGGAGCACGCCUUUACACUACCAUUGGAGUCUGGGCGGUAACAGAUUCUUCUGGCUCAAGGACCCAGAUGGAUUUCUCCCAAUCCGAGGUAUCAUCAACUUCUACCAUGUUGACCUGAUGGUUAGGCAGAGGGUUGUUUGUAACAUUUGGUGCUGGAUCCUUGAGCUGGAUGGCCUUAGUAUCAAUCAGCAUUUGAACCUUAUCUUUCAGGGCUCUGCAAACUUCGGUAGUGUGACCUUUUAUCCCAGAAUGGUAGGCACAAACCUUGUUAGGGUCUUACCAUUUUGUGCGGACAUCUACAUGCAAUGCAGGAACUGGGGUGACAUAGCCAGCCUCUUUCAGUCUCUCAUAAAGGUGGGCUAUGGGCUUAGCCAAAGGAGUAUAGUUUUUUGCAGGCCUUCUUUCAUAUAGAGGUCUGUUUCGGUCGGUGUUUGAGUGGGUGGUGGAGUUUGGAAGUAUAUUGGCUGGGCAUUAUAAACGAGAUAUGAAGUUUGAUGAUAUUGAGGAGGAGCACUGUGGUAAUAUACUGGCGUGGGAUGGGGAGAUAUAGGUAGUGGAGCUGAAGGAUAUGGAGUUUGAGGAUAUGGAGAUGGAGGUGGGGUUGUUGCUCGGUACUUAUAUAGGGUUCUGGUUCCCUGAGCCAUCAUGACCGAACCUGUUUUCUUUCAAUUUUCUGCCAUUCCACCAGAUUGCAGAGCUUUGUUGGUGGCUUGUAAGGCCUCUAGGUUGAUGAUAGUCCCACUUUUUAUGCCUUCUUCAAUUCUUUCACCUAAUUUAAUAAUUUCAGCGAAACUCUUCUCAGCUACAAGCAUCAUCCUGUCAUAAUAUUGUGGCUCUUGGGAACGGAUGAAGUAGUCUUUCAUCUGAGAUUCUUCCAUAGAAGGUCUAGCCCUGGCCGCUUGAGACCUCCAUCUUAUGGCAUAAUCCCUGAAGGAUUCACUGGCCUUUUUCUUCAGGUUUUUGGAUGUAGAACCAGUCAAGUGCAUUUUCUAUAUUAAAUCCAAACUUAUUCAUGAAGUCGGUUGCCAUGUCCACCCACUCAACCCAUUUCCGAGGGUCUUGUUCAAUAUACCACGAUAGAGCCUCCCCAGUGAGACUCCUCAUAAACAACUUCAUGAGUAUCUUCUCGUCUCUCCCCACCCCUACAAGCUUGUCACAUUACAUUCGCAGGUGGGCUUUGGGAUCUCCAAUGCCAUUAAACAUUUCAAACUUUGGAAGCUUGUAUCCUUCAGGUAGUUCUACGUCGGGAUGCAUACACAAAUCCUCGUAGCUCAGUCCUCCCAACCUCUUGCUUCCUUCCACAUGUUGCACCAUGUUAGCCAAGCUAUCUAAUCUCUCGGUCAGGGUUUUUAUCAGAAUGUCCUUUGGCAGGACUCUGAUUCAUGGUAGUUAUGAGUCACAAGAGCAGUUUCCACAUAUAUGGUGUUGAGGUUGUUAUUUCUAGGAGUAUAUGAAGGGUUCGCAUUUGGAAUUGGUUCUGGAAUGGUUGGCUUAGUUUGUUGGUGGUAGUGGUAAAAUGGGAUUUGGGUAUUUUGGGCAUGAAGUGGUAGGAAGAUAUUUGUAUGAGUGGGUUCAGGUCGGGAUACAUUGGUUGGAGGAUUGUUUGGCAUGGUUGUUUGGUUAGAGUGAGGAGGAUUGUCUAUAUUUUUGUCAAACUGGGUUCCGAGAGAAUUAGACAACUUGGCCAAAUCACGCAUCUGCGCUACUUCUUCUUCCAAAUCUAAAAUAUUGCGCUCAAGUCUAAGGACGAGGCACUUGGAAGUUGCCCUCCCUCAAAGUUUCUACUCUUUCGUUGCUGCUGUUGUUGUCAACCAUUUUACCCUUGUCUCUGUAGUCUGUUCUUUGAGGAGGAGGAGAAUGGGGGGGUCCCUUUUGAUCGUGUAUGUGCCAGAAUGAAGGACAUAUCAACCUUAGGAAUGGGAAAAACAAUGGAAUCAAUAGAAAAUAGUGUUAGGGAUUAGAGCAUAUUAAUAAUAAUAACAGCACAUUGUUUGAAAUAAGCGCCCUAAAUGCAAGGGACCUCAUUGAGCCAGAGGUAGGCCUAAGACGACAUAUAAGUGACGCAUAAUAAUUAAUUCAAGCCUUAUUUGCCAAUUUGUAGUUUAGAGUUAGAGAAAUAAAGGAAAAAACGAUCUUUAUUGAAUAACUUCAAACUAUUACAUCAAACUAAAGCAAAACUAGAAAUAAUCUAAAUGGCAAGGGAUAAUAAAUGGGGAAAAUAGAAAUACUAAAAAAAACUUCAAUCAUGGUGGUCUCCAAUGUUUGGUGCAAUCUGCCCCAUCAUUUCUGGGGUCAUGUCAUAGUCGUUGUUCAGAAGGUUGCGAGCCCAUAUUCUUUCCAUGUCGUCACCAAAACCAGGAAGGCCUCCGUCGCUUAAGUCCCUAUGCUCAGCAUCCUCCAAGAUCCAUACGUAAUACUCGGGUGUGCAGUAGGGUCUAUCUUCUCUGAUGUCGAUGGUUCUCACUCCUUCCCACCUUUGUAGUAUGGUGUCAACUUGUGGUGUUUUGGCCCAAAAUCAUACCCAUAAUGACCCAUAUGGGAUCGUAAAGGUAUCAUUUGGACUUGUCCAAAUUGGCGGAGGGCUCGGAGUGGUGCAUAUGGUUGAACUCCAUUUAGUUCGAUAAGCUCAAUGAAAUAGAGCUCAUGUCCUCUAACCAUGGCGCGACGAAGACCUAACCAGUGAUACUUCCAUUGGAUUUGAUUACCAGACCUCCCUCUUAGAUACCUAAACCAAUCUUCCAUUCCCACUGGGCGGAGAAACGCAACAUUCUUGUGGGGUGAGUAAAGAUUUUGCUUCCCAUGCCAUCCAAGAUGUCUAUCAUAUCCUCUCUUUUGUAAAAGUGUUCAGCAGCCCAUAGUUGUAACAAAAGAUUACAGCCCUCAAAAUAUCUCUUACCAUUGACGCAUGCGGAUAAAGCCCUUAUCAUUUCAGCAUGUAUCAUGGGCACUAUAGUCUUAGCAGGAUUUUGUCCUCCUUGAGCUAACAUUCGGACCACAUGACCUAAGGUAUUGCUAAUCUUUCCCUCUUUCAUAGGAAAGACUAAGGAACCCAGUAGUGCGAUGGUGAAAGCUCUGAGACGAUAUUUCUCCCAUUGUCUAGCAGAACACCCAAACUCUUUGUUGAAAUGUUUAUGACCCUUCUCGUCACAAAAGCGGUGGUACAAAAAUUCUAUUGAAAUCCACCCUUUAUCUAAACAAUCCAUCUCCCGAUUACGGUUCAAUCCUAGACUCUUCAAAAACUUCUUCGGUGAUUGCUUAUGUGGCACAAUCAUUUGCCGCCCUUGAAAGGGAAGGUUACCAAACUCUCCGAUUUCCUCGAGUGUUGGAGUUAGCUCAAAGUCCCUAAAUUUGAAAACCAAUCUUGCAGGGUCCCAGAAUUUCAGCAGGGCCAUGAUCAUGUAGCGAUUAGGUUCAACAAAUAACAGAAAGGUCAAUCCACCCAGUAGUUUGCGAAUUUCCAACUCAUGGUCCUUCUUGAUAUUCACCCACCAUCUCUUCAGAAGAUCGUUCGCUUUUGUGACCAUUUGCGUGUUGGGGAAGUUGGGAGCGGCCAUGACUGCAAACAAAUAACAAACAAGUUCUAAACUCCAAUUUGGCAUAAAUUAGGCUUGAUUUAGUUAUUGUGACCACAUUGACAGAUAAUAUGCAAUUUGUCUAAAGGGUGUUGGGAUCCUUUAGACAAUAGGGUGGCUACUAAUUAUGUGGAUUGACACCAGGGGUCAAACCACCUAAGGUUUAUGCAACAUGUAUGACUUAAAUGGAAAAUUCUAAGAGUGGGCUUGACAUGGACUUGAAAGGGAUUCUAUGCGAGAAGGCACAUGGUUCCACGGUAGUAAAACUAUCCGCAUCUGUCAUGCCUCAGCCAUCUCUCUAAUAUAGAGUGUUUGAAGAGAAUUGAAGUAUUUGUGAGAUGUGCAUAGUCACACACCAUCACGAGAAUAAAAAAAAUAAAAGAGGAAGAGGGUCCCAAUUGGGGGAAGUAUGAGCGGAAUGCCAAUUUAUCAAAGCGGUAACAUUUAGCACUUAGGUGGAAAGCAGUAACACAUAGGCAGUUUAUGAAAGAGGUAAUAAAUAAAUUAAUACAUGCAUAAAUAAAAGGGAGUAAACAUAUAAACAUAUUAGAGAAUCAAGCAAAUAAGGAAAUAGGGUAUGGAUUAAGCAUGCAAGUAACAAAUAAAGGAAAAGGGAAAGGGCGAGACAUGGAAAUAAACAAAUAAAGAAGAAGGGAAAGGGUUGGAACAUGGAAAAUAGACAAUAAAUAAGGAAAUAAAUAAACAAGGAAAACAAAUAACAACUUAACAUGCUAAUAACCAAACAAACAAUGAAAUAACCAAGUAAACCCCACAUAAGCAUGAAACACGUAAUGGUUAGAACCUAAUAUCCCCAGAAGAGUCGUCAUUCUGUCGCGCCCCAUUUUCUCGCAAAAACAGGUUUUGGUGCACGACCUAACAACUCUUUUGGGCUUUUGGGUUGGAUUGAAGAGUCGUCACCUAACGAAUUAAGGUGCGUUAGGGCACCUAUCUAACCUAACUAAGUCUAGCUAAGGUCAACGAACCAGAGAUCAAGGUAAGGGUUCAAGUUACCUCGAGGGGAAGGUGUUAGGCAUCCCUCGAGGUCCACAAAUGUGGGUCCCGACCGUGUCUCAUGCAAUUUAUGUGGGGGUUACAAGUAGCAUUUAUGGUCACUUCAUUUAUUAUUUAUUUAAACAUGUUUGCUAAGUGAUAACUAAUAUUAAACAGUUAAGAUCAAUUUAAUUAUUUUAAUUAAUUAAGCAUCCAAAACUAGGUGAUAUAAUAAAUAACAUUAAAUAGAUAUUAGGCAGUCAAUAAAGAGAUAAGCAAGGAGACAGAAAAUAGACAAGUAUAUAAGUAAAUAUCAUUUUUUAUUUAAUUAAACUACCCCAAAUAAAUAUAAUUAUAAACAGAUAAAGGGAUAAAAGGAAAAGGAGACUCUAAAAGACUUUGUGGAUCAGCACUCGAUUUUUCUUUAGUGUUUCGAUAAACCAAGGUUUGUCACUUUAAGCCUGAGUCGAUGUCAUCAUAUCCGUAGGGCCUAAACUACCCUUACCCCACCACCGCAUGCUUUUCAUCUCUACAAGGUGCCUAGCGUCCCUGCUUAAGGUCCAAGAGGCAUUGAACUACUAUUAGGAAGGGUUUAGACUGAAAUAAACUCCUAAUAGGCCAACCUAGACACCAAGUCAAACAAAUAGGACAUUCAUUUAGCAUGUAAAGUCUCAAAUUUGCCUCUAGGUUUUAUUAAACAUGCUUUCAAACACACAUAAUGGUGAAAGGAUUUCCUGCUAAGUGUAUGCAUACAGACAUAUAUUGACAACAUAAUUAUUUAAUUGGGGGGAGCAGAAAGUUGUUACAAGUGCAGGGAGCUUAUUAGACUAAUUUUUAAAGGUGGCAGAAAAGCAAUUAUAAAUGCAGAAAUAUAUUUAGAAACAGUGACAGAUUUAUUAUUAAUGCAAAGAAAUAUUUUAAAAGACAGUCAGUUUGCAAAAAUCUAGUAGCUGGUUUUUUUUUAUCAGGGCAGAAUAUUUAAAACAUGAGAAAUUAGUUGAAUAAGCAAUAUUAAACAGACAAUUUAAACAACUUGCAAAUAAUUAUUAGUAUUGAUUUUAAAUGUGGUAGCAAAUUAGUAUAGGAAGCAGAUUUUAGAUUGAUUUUGAGUGGCCAGUGUUAUUCAGCAUGCAGAAAUAAUGAGCCGGAUUUAAUCAGACAACCAGUAUUUAGAGUAGAUUUUAAUGCAUGCAUGGUAUUAAAGCAGAUUCACUUAAUUUAGCAAAUUAUUAAAGCAGAUGCAAAGAAUAAUUUAAACAGACAAUUAAUUUUUUUUCUUAUUUUUUACUUUAAAAUGUCGAAAAACAUGUAUCAUAGAGCAAUAACAUAUAAUUCAUAACAUGGGGGGGGGGGGGCUCAACACUUUUCUUUUUAAACAUGCAGGAAAAAUGUGUCAGAACUCAUAAAUUGUUAUUUUAGAGUAUGCUGAAAAUUAUUAACUAGAUUAGUCUAAGUGGCAGAAAACAUGCAUAAUAAAUUUUAUUUCAGUUAUUUAACAUGCCAAAAAAUUAUUAAAUUACAAUUUUAGCAAACUUUUUUAUUCUUUAAAAUUAAUCUUAUUAGUUGAUCCUAUAAACAUUAUUUCUAAACGAAUAUGCUGAAAUUAAAAUGCUGAACCUAUAGGCAUACUUUCUAUAUAAAGAUAAUAAUCCAAAAUCUAUAGGCAUGAUUUCUAUGUGAUGAGACAUGUUGAAAAUAUAACUGAUUAUAGACAUGAAUCUUCACAUAGAAUGGUAUAAAUAUUAUCAUAUAAACACGUUCCAGAUUUAGCAGAGAUUGAAUUAAUUUAAGGCAUGCCAACUGAUUUCGAAUUUCCAAACUAACAAAGUUAUGGACAAACAAAUGCCUGGUUUUGACCAAUUAUUUUAGGUGAUAAUAAUUUAUUUCUGAUUUUUUUAUGUGGUUAGAAGAUAUAAACAGAUUAUAUUUAACAAUAACAAGUAGUGAAAUAAACAAAAGUAAAAUAGACAAUUAGCACAUAUUCCCCCUCUCCCCUUAGCCGAUCCCCCAAAUACAUCAUAUAUAUAGCGAGUUCAAGAGUUAUACAAAUAUUACAAACCGAAAUAAAUAAUAAAUACGAAUUCAAAAUACAUAAAUUAAAUAAUCUCGUCUCAUGGCAACUCUUCAACUUGAACUUCAUGUUCAAAACCUGUUUAACAGAAUAACACCCAACACGAGAUCAUAGCAUAAUAAUAACUAAUAGAUAGAAAAUAUAAAAGCUAUUCACAGUAAACACACGAAUUUCACCAAGUCAUGUAAAAUCACACAUCGGAAUAACGGAUAAGGAAACUAACCCGAAUGCUUCCUUUUAUUUAUUUCGACCAAACAAUGCAAACAAACAAAAGAAAAGGAAAAAAAGAUUAAGCUAAUGAAAGGAACUAACCAAUUAUGCAGAAUAUUAAUCAGCAAUGAAGACCCAUUAAUCCAACUUUCGACCCGUACACAGCAAAAUAGCAAGUAUAGAGAAGUUUUUAUGUUUACCGGAAAACUAAAUUCUAUUUUUAAGAGUAGAGAGCAUUAUAUAUUUUUUAGUAUUCAAGAAUUGAGCAAAGUCAAGAUGUGAGAGAAUUCUCCUAUCGUUAGAAUGUCCGGGAUUGCAUUGUGCCCGAUAUUGCAUCAUUACAUAUGCCCAAGAUUGCAUGAGCCUGAAGAUUGCAUUGUGCCCGAUAUUGCAUAAGCCCGAAGAUUAUAUUGUGCCCGAUAUUGCAUGUGCCCGAGAAUAGUAUUGCGCCCGAUAUUGCAUGAGCCCGAAAAUUGCAUGUGUCUGAUAUUGCAUGAGCCCGAAGAUUGCAUUCUUCUCGAUAUUUCAUGUUCCCGAAGAUUGCAUUGUGCCCGAUAUUGCAUGUGCCCGAAGAUUGCAUUCUGCCUGAUAUUGCAUGAGCCCGAAGAUUGCAUUGUGCCCGGUUUUGCAUGUGACCGAGAAUUAAAUUGUGCCCGAUAUUACAUGUGCCUGAGAAUUGCAUUGUGCCCGAUAUUGCAUGAGCCUAAAAAUUGCAUUGUGCCCGAUAUUGCAUGUGCCCGAAGAUUGCAUUGUGCCCGAAGAUUGCAUUGUGCCCGAAUUGCAUGUGCUCGAGAAAUGCAUAUGCCUGAAUAAACUCCAAUCAAGCUACAAGUAUCAACAGAUGCCCGAAUUACAGAUAUGCUUUCUUUACUCAUUAUUUAUAUUCCUAAGGCGUCAUGGUCUAAAGGCAUCAUUCUUCAUGGCCUGCGGACAUCAUAUCAUGGCCUAAGGAUUUACUUUUUGCUUAUCAUGAUCCGAAGGUGUCAUAGUCUAAGGGCAUCAUUUUUCAUGGCCCACGGACAACAUUUGCAUGACCAGAGGAUAUAAAUUUUGUGUAUCAUGGCCCUAGACAUUAUAGCCUAAGGAAUCAUUUUUCAUAGUCUUAAGGCAAACAUCAUGGUCGAUAUGGGAAUUGCAUCAUGUUUACUUUUACCGUUUGUUUGAAAUAUUUGCUUUAGUCAUAUUACAAGCUACAGAUUUGCAGAAACUAACAUUUUGCAGAUAAGACAUUCUUCACCUCUGGGCUACGAUUAUCGUGCUUACAUCUAUUGCAACAAAUGCCUUAUCAAAUUCUUUGCUGCUCAUACUACCUUUUUUUCCAUUUAACCCUUGGCUACUCAUAUUACCGUUUAUCAUCGGAUUCUUCCCUUAAACCGAAAAUCUCUCUGUCAUACCUUUCUCGCUUCUCUAAUCCUAUACAUUCAAGCCGAUAUCACUCUCGUUCGAAUACCGAACCGCUCUUUUAAUUCUUAGGAGUUUCGUCUGCUCUUGAGUCUAGAACUACACACGACCUGAUUCUCGUAUAACCAGAGAUAUGUAGGCGGCUUAAUACCAAAGUCUCGGUCGUACCCCUUUUCCAACUCUAUAUCAUUUUAAUUGAUCCCGCUGACAUCCCUCGUCGGACAAAAUCGGCUACUAAGUCAACGAUUGGUUGCCCGACAAUUCAUCCUUCAUUCUCAAGCAACCAAGGGGCAGUUGUUGACACCCAAUUUUGACCGACCUUUAAACCUUUUAGGGAUGCUUUCCGAUUAAAUACGCAUUUUAAAACAUAUUUUGAUUUCUAAAAUUUUAGUCGACUUUGUCUAAAAAUUAUAUAUUUUAGUAGACUUGAUUUAUAAAAAAUUAUCGUAAUUAAUAUUAAAUUAAUAUAUUUAUCGAUGGUUAAACUCGAAAUAAUUAUUUUUACUCAAAUGUUUUUUAAAUUUAGAUGCGUAUAAUUUGUUUUAAUAUAUGUAGUACUUUAAUUGGAUAGCAUUUCUUUGAUUUUCCUCCAAAUCAUUUAAAUCUUAGCCUAUAUUACUCUAAUUCCUUGCAAUUCUAGCCAUUCUAAUUCAAUUGUCAUAUCAAUUAUAGCCAUAUAGUUGAUUGCAAUUUUAGCCCUUUCUUAUCUCAAGUUUUCAUAUCUCAAAUAUCCUCCUUUAAUCGUAGCCGUCCGUCUAAAUCAGAUCAUCCAAGAUUAAAUCACAUGCGUCCAUUCAAAUUUAAAUCGAUAGUCCAGAUUCGAUCCUCUUAUUUUCCUUUUUUAAAAACUAAAAGACUCUCAAACCUAAAACUUUAUUCACUCACUAUUCUCUCCUCUCUCUCUCUCUAGCUGCCGCCCCCCUCUCUCUUUUCUUAUCUAGCGGAGGAGCAGCAGCGCGAGAACCAGCAAGCGCUGGCCGCCUCCAUUCCCUUUUCGUUGCACAGCAGCUCGACGAGGCAGUUUGACAGUGCUAAGGAGACAGCGAGGCAGCAGUAGCCUGUUGUUCCACUUCAUUUCUCCAACGAGCAGCAGUGGCGGACACCAGCUCCAACCAACAGCUCCAGCCGACUCCAACCAGCAGCCAGGCACACCAGCGUGAGAGCCUGCUCCGAAAAGCAGCGACAGUGAAACCACCUGCAACAACAGCAACACGCAGCGAGCAAAUCAGCAGCUCCGGCGACAGAUCCGACAGUAGCCGCCGGCGAAAACAACGACAACGGCAAACUCCGGCCAACAACUGUUUCCUCCGCUCUCCUCUUCUCUUCUACCGGUGGAAACAACACCUUGGAUAACGUUUACAGGGACCAAAAGAAGACGGAUAUUUUUAGAUCCGUUUGGAUUCAUUUUCUCGUUCAAUUCAUUACCUAAGUUAUUUUUGAAAUAAUGAUUUUAUGCUUGUGAGGUUGAUGCGAUUCCUUGUUAAUUGUUGAUCUUAUGACCAUUUCUUAGUUAUUUUCUGAACGCCGGAAGCAUGUAUAUUUUAGCUUUGUUAAAAUGUCAUUAUGUUCUAUUGUGAUUUAAGAUAUGUGUUUAGUUACCGUUGUUGAUUACUAAACUGAUUUAGUAAGACAUCCUGUAAAUGGGUUGAUUUGCCAAAAUUUGUGAUUAAGGAUUAAUUCAAGCAACUCUCCGAUAAUUUUUUCUUAGCUCAAUAACUCACUACUGAUCUCAUAUUGAUUUGUUGAUUACCAUUAAUGGAUUUGUUCUUCUUCUUUUUAGCGUUAAUUAGGAUCUGCUAGGUCAUAUAUGUUUAUCUAAUUGUUGAAAAUCAACUUUAAAAUGUGUAUUGGUACUUGACUUUUGGAUAAUGUAUUUAAUCAUGAAAAUGACUCUAUGUUUUAAUUAUAGUAAGCAAUCCCAACGAGAUAAUUUGUUUGUACUGAUUUUAUUCCUUUCCUUUAAAUUAUGUGCUUUGAUUUUCUGUAAUUUUUAUUAAUUUGCUGACUUGUGUUAAUUGAUUUUUCUACCUUAAUUAAGUUAAUUAAUAAGAUGCAUUUAUUUAUUUUAGUGAAAUCAUGUCCAGAUAUGGUAAAGGUAUAUUGAUAUAAUUUUUGAGCUGUAAUUAUCACCCUUCUUGUAUUAAUUAUUAUAUGUCUUACUUGAUUUUUUGCAUAUUAUUGUCUGUUAAUUGAUUCCUUAUACCUUAAUUAAAAGUUGCUAGAUUUCUUACUCAUUUAUAUUUGGUAAAAAAAAGAAUAAAUAUAUAUGGGACUGAUUUUAUAUUCCUUUUUGUUUAAGGAAAGCAUGUUAUAAUUGGCUCCUUGAUUUUUUUUCCUUAUUUUGGUCCGUACUCUAGUAGUAUAUAAAGGACCCUUCCCUUCAUUAUUUAGCGGCCUUGACUUUUGCUCACAUACUAAAAGAGCUUACUCUGGAAUACUUUAAAAAAUAUAUUGCUCUCUACUCUUAAAAGAAUUAAUACUCCGGUGAAUAAUUUUAAGGGUUUUUCUACUCGAUUUUGAUGUGUUCAGGUCUAGUAUCGAAUCAAAUUGGGUCUUCAUUGUUGAUAAAUAUUUCUGCAUAACAGGUUAGUUCCGUUCACUAGUUUAAAUUUUUUUUGCAUUGUUCGUACUAUGUGUUGUUUGAAAUAAUAAAGGAAGCGCCCUAGGUCAGUUUCUUUCUCCCUCUUUUGUGAUGAUUAUUUUGUUGAGUUUAUCAUUUGUUUGAAUGUGAAUGUUGGUGUUGCUUCUGCCCGUUUAAUAAAUUUUGUUUUAUUGUAUGUUGGUGCUGCUUUAUCUACUUUAUUUAGCAGGUUAUAUGAGUUUGAGAGUCGAAGAGUUGCCAUGAGAAGGGAUAUUGGAUUGGAGCUUUUAUUUUAUUUGGAAUUUAUUCGAUUUUGUAAUAAUGUUGUAUAACUCUAACUCUCUCCUAUAUAUAAAAUAACUUGGGGAAUCAUCUAAGGGGGGAGGGGAAUUAUGUGCUAACUGUUUUACUUAUUUAUUUCAUGUUAAUACGUGUAGUUGUUAAAAUUUGUCUAUGUUUGCUCAAAUAGUAAAUUAGUCAAGCACAUUAGAAUAUAUCUUAAAAUUGGUCUAAAAUCAAUUAUGUUUAUAACUUUGUCAUUGUUUAUAGUAUCUGACUAGCAAUAUAUUUAAAUGUCAUGCCUAUAAGGUUUAAAUAGUUCGAUCGAUUUUUGGGUUAGAGUUCAUAUUCAUAGGCGUCAUUAAUUAAUUUCUUGCAUGUAAAAAAUAAUGAGUUAAUUUUGUGUAUAUUUUGCUUCAAAAAGAAUAAAUAAUAAUAAUAAUGUAAAGUCAUUUGCCGGCAUAUUUUAUUAAAUAAAAUUAAUAUGUUUACCUUCUGCUCUGUACUUGCUUUAAUAUUUCCUGCUUGUUUAAGAACAGUAUGACAAAAAAUUUAAUUAAAAUUUAAACUGUCUGAAGUGCUUGCUUGCUUAGAUAAAAUUAAUAUGAUUACCUUCUGCUCUGUACUUGCUUUAAUAUUUCCUGCUUGUUUAAGAACAGUAUGACAAAAUUUUAAUUAAAUUUAACUGUCUGAAGUGCUUGCUUGCUUAGGUUAAUCAAUUAGUCCAAAUAAUUCAGUCUGUUUAAUAAUUUAAUCCUGUCAAUUAAUCAAGUUUUAAUAAUUUCACAGCAUGUUUAGGAACUAUACCUAUAUGUUUUUCUGAAUAUAUAAUGUCCAGUUUGCUCGCCGCUAGAAAUCAUGCCUAAGGAUUAUUUUUUUAUCAUAUAUGUUGUUUGGGGUUAUUAAAUCAUGCCUAUAGGUGUAAUGCAGCGUUCUGAUCACAUUGAAAUCAUGUUCACAGGCAUUGUUAAUUUUCAGCAUGAAAAGGGUUUUAAAAUAAUCUGUCAUUCUUUAAUUAUCAAUUAAUUCGGUCACUGUUUAAGCGGAUGUUGUAACAUAUUCAUUUUCUGCCAAUUAAAAUCAAUCAAUUUCCAGUAUGCUAAACCACUAAAUAAUUUGUGUGAUUAGAUAUUUGCUCAAAAGUUGUUUUCUGCAUUUCGAACAUUGCCCUAUCAAUUAAAUUUAGUUCAUAAUAACUAUCUACAUGUAACUUUAAUAUCUGCUGCCUUGACUAAUUUCUGCCCAAAAUAAACAGUGUUCUACAUCAAAAUAAGCUCUGUUUAUCUACUUAAAAUGAAUUAAUGACUUUCUCAACAUGUUAAUUAGCAAUAGUCUGAUCUGUCUCUACAUUAAUAACUAGAUCUGUUACUGCUCUAAAAAAAAUAUAGUUUUUUCGCAUCUACAAUUGCUUUUCUGUUAUAUUAAUAAAAUAUGCAACCUGUCAUAAUUCUCUGUCCCAUUAAUAUUAACCAGUAUUUUGUUAUAAUGCCCGAUUGUAUACUUGUUUAUAUGCACACACUUAGCAUGCGAUCUUUUCACCUUACUUGUGUUUGUCAGCAUGUUUAGUAAAACCUAGAGGCCAACUUGAGACUUUACAUGCUAAAUGCUCGUCCAAAUUGUUUGACUUGGUGUUUAGGUGGGCCUAUUAGGAACUUCUAUUUUAUUUUAGUUUAAAUCCAUCAUAAUAGUAGUUCAAUGCCUCUUGGACCUUAAGCGGGGACGCUAGACACCUUUUAGGGGUAGUUUAGGCCCUACGAAGAUGAUGACAUUGACUCGGUCUUAAUGACAAACCUUGGUUUUGUCUGUCCAUACGAGUAACCAACCGAAAUAAAGAAAAGUCGAGUGUUGAUUCGUAAAGUCUUUCAGAGUCUCCCUUUCCUUUCUCCCUUUAUCUAUUUAUAAUCAUAUUUAUUUGGGGUAGUUUAAUUAAAUAAAAAAUGAUAUUUACUUAUAUAGUUGUCUACUUUCUAUCUUCUCGCUAUCUCUUUUUAAAUUUUAUUUGUGUUAAUUAUUUAGUAUUAUGUUAUCACCUAGUUUUUGCAUGUUUAAUUAAUUAAAUAAAUAAAUGAGUUGAUCUUAAUUGUUUAAUAUUAGUUAUCACCUAGCAAGCAUGUUUAAUUAAAUAAUAUUAAAUGAAGUGACCUUAAAUGCUACUUCUAACCCCCACAUAAAUUGCAUGAGAUACGGUCGGGACCCACAUAUGUGGACCUCGAAAGAUGCCUAACACCUUCCCUCAAGGUAAUUUGAACCCUUACCCGAUCUCUGGUUCGUUGACCUUAGUUAGAUUUAGCUAGGUUAGAUAGGUGCCCUAACGCGCCUUAACUCGUUAAGUGGCGACUCAAAACGGACCUUCCUUUCGGAUGCACGACCUAACGGUUUUUGCUCUCUCCUUGCUCUGUGUGAUAUUAUAUUUGUCGUUAUGCUUUACUUGUCUAAACGCUUGUUUUGCCGAAUAUGUAUAAAAUGAACAUGCGUAUAUGUUGAAUCUGCCCGUAAUUAGUGCUAUUGUUUUAUUAUAUUAUAUUAUUGUAUGCCAUAUAUUUGUCUAUAUCUCACUUUUGGAGGUUCGGACUUGAUUUCAAGUUCAAAGAGUCGCCAUGGAUGAGUCUUUUAGAUGGGAUCUAGUUUUCAUUCGUGUUUAUAAUAUUUGUAUUAUUUUAUUUGGNNNNNNNNNNUUUUGUAGUAACACUCUCUAUAUAUAUGAAAUAAUCUUGGGGACCGUCCAAGGGGAGGGGGUUUACGUGCUAAUUGCUACUUUGUCGCAAACUUACUUGUUGUUAGAAAGCAUGCCUAUAGGAGUGUGUUCUGUUUGAUCGUUCCCAUUCUAAUAUUUGCACUCAAGAUCUGUCUAAAAUAAAAUCAAUUACUUGUCACCAAUCACCUACUUAAAGCUUGCCUAAUUUUAGUGUAAAAUUAACCAUGUAGUUAAAUACCUUGCUUUGGUUGAUUUAUAUGGUCGCUUUCUUCAUCGCUAAUAAUAAAUAUAAAUAAUGUAUGACUGCUCCUUGCUUCAUUUACUUAAACCAAGCUUCUUACAUAUAAUGAAUAAAUAACGCGUGAUUAUUGUCUUAAUUUAUUUUUACAAUAAUUCUGCCAUUUUAGAAAAUAUGUCAAUAGGGAUUUAAAUAAUUUUAAAACAUUUAUUUGAGUGUAGUAUUUAUGCAUAUAGGUUUAAAUAGUUCUAAUACAUGCCUAAGAAAAUAAAUCUCAACAUGUGCACACUUAGAUACCAUGCCUAUAGGAGUUACAUAAUUCUUAAUAUAUUAUUUGGGUGUAGAAAUUAUGCAUAUAGGUUUCAAGUGACUUCUCUUUUCUUAUCUAGAAAUCAUGCCUAUAGGACUAAAACAAAAUCGAUGAUGCUAAAUAGUUAGUUCGAAUAAUUUCUGCAUGUUUUAGUAACUUAAGCCUGCCAGCUAAUAAAUUUAUAUUAGGUUGCUAAUAAAAUUUUAGCAUGUUAAUCACUUAAUUAGCAUAUUUAUAGGCUUCUAAUAAAUUUUCAGUAUGUUUUUUUUAGUCUGCUAUGAAUAUUCUCUAUCUAAAAUAAGUAAAUUUUCUACUUAAAAUAAAUCAAUAUCUUCUCCUGCAUGUUAACUGCGAUAUUAAAUUUGUCUACCAUUUAAAACAGAGUUAUUAAAUCACUCUCUUGCAAUAAUAUUUCUGUCUUUUUAAAAAAAAAUCAAUUGGUAACUAAAAUCGGCUUUCUGUAAAAAAAUUCUGCAACCUUUAAAAUCAGUCUAAUAAACUAUUGCCACUUGAAAUAAACAUUUCAGCAUUAAUAAUUUGCUAUUGCUUUCAAAUACUUUUGCCCAUUUGCAUUAUUAUAAAGUGCCCAUUUUAAAUUAAUUACUAAUUAAAUCAGUCUAAUAAGCUUUACCUAACUUGUAAUAUUUUCGUCCAUUUAAAAUUAAUCUAUAUGUUAUAUUGAGUGUUUGUUCGUCUAUGCACACACUUAAGCAUGAAACCUUUCACUUUAUGUGUGUUUGCUAGCAUGCUAAAUAAAAAUACUAGAGGCCAACAUGAGAUUUACGUGCUAAAUGCUCGUCCAAAGUGUUUGACUUGGUGUCUAGGUGGGCCUAUUAAGAGUUUAUUUUAGUCUAAAUCCACCAUAAUAGUAGUCCAAUGCCUCUUGGAUCUUAAGCGGGGACGAUAGGCACCUUGUAGAGACGAAAAAUAUGCGGUGGUGGGGUAGGGGUAGUUUAGGCCUUACGAAGAUGAUGACAUCGACUUAAUCUUAAUGACAAACCUUGGUUUUGUCUGUCCCUACGAGUAACCGACCGAAAUAAAGAAAAAUCGAGUGCUGAUUCGUAAAGUCCUUCAAAGUCUCCAUUUCCUUUCUCCCUUUAUAUGUUUAUAAUUAUAUUUAUUUGGGGUAGUUUAAUUAAAUAAAAAAAUGAUAUUUACUUAUAUAGUUGUCUACUUUCUAUCUUCUCGCUAUCUCUUUUAAAUUGUAUUUGUGCGAAUUAUUUAGUCUUAUGUCAUCAUAUAAUUUUGCAUGUUUAAUUAAAUAACAAAUAAAUAAAUUGAUCUUAAUUGUUUAUUAUUAGUUAUCUUGUUAUCACCUAGCAAGCAUGUUUAAAUAACCAAUAAAUGAAGUGACCUUAAAUGCUACUUGUAACCCCCACAUAAAUUGCAUGAGACACGGUCGGGACCCACAUUUUGUGGACCUCGAGGGAUGCUUAACACCUUCCCCUCGAGGUAAUUUGAACCCUUACCCGAUCUCUGGUUCGUUUUUUUUUUUCGGUUUUUUCGGUUUUCGGUUCUUGUAUCAUGUGUACCGAACACCGAACCGAAAUAAUUCGGUUCGGUUCGGUUUUUAUUAUUUCGGUUUGGUUUAUAUUAUUUCGGUUCGGUUUUUGUUAGUUCGGUGGCUGGUUGUUGUUGGUCGGUCGCCGGUGGCUGCUGCGUGCUGCUGAUCGGCUGCUGCAGUGCUGCGUGCUGCCUGCCUGCUGGGUGUCACUUGCGUGUUGGCCUGCUGCGUGCUAGUCGGCCGGUCGUCGUUGGCUUGUUGUUGAUCGGCCAGUCGCCGGAAGUGGAAAGUGGAAUUGGAAAAUGGGAAAAUAAAGUGACUGAUGUGCGGCUAACUUGUAAGAAAAGAUUGAAAACACAAAAUCUGAAAAGUCAAAAGUUUGAAAAGUAAAAAGCUAAAAGCUGAAAAGUAAAGUUUGACCUAUUUUGUCUAUAUUUUUAUUAUUUACUAUUGCUAAUUAAUAUAAUAUUAAUAAUAUUAUAAAUAUAAUAUAAUAUAUUUCGGUAAACCGAAAUACCGAAAAAUACAAAAAUUCAUACCGAAAACCGAACCGAAAUACCGAAAAAUACAAAAACUCAUACCGAAUACCGAACCGAAAACCGAAAUACCGAAACCGAAAUACCGAAAUUCUUCGGUUCGGUUCGGUAUUUCGGUUUUUCGGUGUUUAUGCCCACCCCUACUUAAAACCUUCCCCUCGAGGUAAUUUAAACCCUUACCCGAUCUUUGGUUCGUUGACCUUUAUUUAGAAUUAGUUAGGUUAGAUAGGUGCCCUAAUGUGCCUUAAUUCGUUAGGUGGCGACUCUUUAUUUUUUCAAAACCCAAAAGAGUUGUUAGGUCGUGCAUUCGAAAGGAAGGUCCGUUUUGAGAAAAAUGGGGCGCGACAAAGAUGAUUACUUUUUAAUUUCUUCCUUUUAUUUUUUCAAUUUGAUUUAUUUUUAUUUCUAUUAUUUUAAGUCAUGUUUUUAUUUUAAUUAUUCUAAAGAACUUUUAAAAAAAAUAAAUUAUUUUAUAUUUUUUAUAUUUCAUUUUCUUCUCAUUCUCAACCUUUACUUCAUGCGAUUCCAUGAAAUUUUUUGUAUGGUCUAUUUUUAAUGUCAUAUUUUUUUUUCAUUAGCAUAGUUUUGUUAGUAUUGUAAUUUUUAAAUUAAAAGUACAAUUCAUUAUUGAGUAAAGUUAUAGACUUACGUUUUUCUUGUCUUUUAAAUCAUAUUUAUGUAUGUUAUGUCAAAAUUUGAUAUAAGCGUAUUACGUUGAAUUUUUUGUUUUGAAUUUAGAACUUAUGUUAUAUUUCUAGUUUCAUUUGUUUUAGUAGUAUUGACUUGAGAUUUCACAUUGCAAGUCAUUUAUUUUUUUAGUUAGACUGAUACAUUAUUUUUUUUUGUCAAAAUUGAUAAUUUAUGACAUUUUAUUUAUAAUAUAAAUCUUUUUGUCAAACAUGCAUUUCAUAAUAUUCAUAGAAAUCUUGUGCUUUUAAUUUUUAUGGUUAGUUCAAUUGAAAUAUACUAAUUUGAAAAAUAUAAAUAAAUUGUUUUCUUCAUAAUAUUAAUUAAGAACAUAUGUUUAUUAAUAAUAUAUUUUCAAAAGACAAUAUAUAUCUUAAAUAUUUAAUUUAGUAUCAUUUAUAAAGUUUCUUAUUUGUCUAAUAUAAAUUUUAAAUAAUUAACUUCUAUUUUUAUUUAAAAUUUAAUACUCACUCUGUCUAACAAUAGUUGUCCACUAUUGACUCGACACAACUCUUAAGAAACGAUAAAUAAUAGGGGUAAUAUUACUAUAUUAUCAUUUGAAUUUAUUAAAUUUAAUGCUUUAAGAAAUGUGUUAGAUGAUAAAUAGUAUUUAAUAGCAAGGGUAAAAUAGACACAAAAAGUAAAUUAUCUCUUGAUUUCUAAAUUGGACAAGUAUCGUUGGACAAUUAUUCUUAAUAUAGUGGACAAUUAUAGUUAGACGGAAGGAAGAGUAUGUUAUAAUUACAUUGGGUCAAAUAAACAUGUCAACAUAAUAUACUAAUAAUUAAUACCUACUAAUAGGGUUGUUCAUGGUUAUGGUUAUAAAACCAAAUCGAACUGCAAUUCGAACCAAAUCGAUUAAAAAAACCGAUAUUUAGUUUGAUUUGGUUAGGUUCGGUCUUAAAUUUUGAAAAACCGAUAUUAUUUGGUUUGAUUUUGAUUUUACUAAAAGUUAACUGCAAAAAUAACCAAACCGAACCGAGAAGUUAUAUAUAUAUAAAUUUUAUAGUUAUUUAUAAAUAAAAUAGGGAUAAGGGUCUGAAAAAUACCCCAACUUUGAUCGAAUUUGCUGUUGCGAUACUAAACUUUCAUAAGGACCUAUUACCUCCCUAGACUAUUUAGUACCAUAUUUUUUACCCCUGAACUAUUUAAUAGUGUAUUUUAAAGGUAUAUAUGUGCCCACGUGGACACAUUACUAUUUAUAAUUUUGCAUUAUUUUUUAUGUCCAUGUGGGCAAAUAUAUAUGUUUAAAAUACAGUAUUAAAUAGUCUAGGGAGGUAAUGGGUCCUCAUGAAAGUUCAGUAUCGCAACAACAAAUCCGAUCAAAGUUGAUGUAUUUUUCAGACCCUUAUCCCAAUAAAAUAUAAGUAUUUAGAUAAAUUUUAAUUAACUUAAGUCUUUAAUUUUACUAUUUUCUGAAGCCCAACACUUAAAUUUUACCCCAACUAUUAAAAUCUUAAGUCUAAAUCCCUUAAUAUUCAUUACUUUAAAAAUUACACUUUCUCUAUUCUUUAUAAAUUUUCUAAUGUAGCAUUGAAUUAUUUAAAGCUCAAGCUAAAGAAGAUGGUAAUUGAUUAGUUUUGACUAUGAAAUAUUGAUUUUUUUUAGAAGUAAUUUCUCAAUAUUUUAAGGUGUAAUUUUAUUGAAAAAUCUAUUGAUCAGAUAUUGAGAUCUCCAGAAUAUUGAACCAACUUUAUGCUAUUAACAAUGAGUUUUUUUAGUUUCUAAAAUUGGUACAUUGGAUGAAUCACUUUGUUCAUCUAAUAGCUUAUUUGAGAAUUAUUCAUGUACUAAGUGUUUGUGUCUAUCGAGAUACAUAUGUUCUCAACAAACUUAUUACUUUUGAACAGAAAAAACCAAACAAAACCGACAUUUUUUUUUAAUUUGGUUUGAUUUGAUUUUAGAAAUUUAAAAAUCAAUUUAAAUUGAUUUGGUUUUAGUUUUAACUAAUAAUCCAUCCAAUCCGAACCAUGAAUAACCUUAACUACUAAUUACAUAAAUUCAAUUUAAGAAGAAAAAAAAAAAGAGAAAUUAGAACCUGAGGAAGUCUGGUGUCCUUUCUCCCUGGAAUGUUAGACGAAACCCUAGUUAUCUCCGUUUCUCCAUCUCACUAUCUGAACACACACAGUUCUUCUCGAUCUCUCUCCAUUUCGUUGAUAGAGUUAUAGAUAUAGUUAUUGUUAUAGAGAAGGAAAGGAAAUGUAUAGAGAUCGAGGUGGUGGUGGUUCUUCCAAAUCGGAAAUGGUUGGAGGGAAGCGAAUCAACGAUGCAUUAGAUAAGCAGUUGGACAAGUCUUCAGCGUCUACGUCAAGGGCGUUGAAGGAAAAAUCUGGUCCCUCUACAUCUACAGUUGUUACCGGAAAAUUGCAUCAGCGUCAUCCCAAUCAUCAUAUGGAUCAUCAGCGUGACACUCUCUCUUCAUCUACUCUCACCACAAAAAACAAGUGCUCCGAUGGUAAGGAUCAUCUUUUAUGUUAAAUUUUCCCCCCCUUUUCCAUUAUUGCUACAAUCAAUAUUUAUGUUUCUCAGUGCAUUACAUUGUUCUCAUAUAUCAUUCAUUUAGCUGGUGAUGAGUUUGAGGCUUUAAGUUUGGCCUGAUAUUUUGUCCAAUUAAUUCUUUUUUCUUUAAAACUUUUUUGGAGAUCCAGUUGGCUCUCUUUUUCUUGUUCAAAUUAUACAUGUAAAUUGGUUCUAAAACUCACUAAACUUUAUAUUUAUCUGUAUGGAUAUGUAAAGGAUCUCCUUUGGCACUUCUCAGUGGGGUCGUCUUGCAUGGAUUUAUGUUCUUUAAGUAGGGGUUUGUAUCCUGAUAAAAUGCGUUUAACUUGACUGGAGUAAUGGGAUGUUCUUUUUCUUCGGAAAGCAUCUAGAAUGUGGUCAGGAUUAUGGUACCUUAUCAAAAAAGAAAAACGUAGAAUGUGAUCAGGAAAAAGUUCUGUCAAGUUUCAAAGGGGGAACAUGACUGGAAAAGCUGUUACUGGAAUGUCAUUCUAUUCUGCUCGAGGUUCCUUCUGUAUCUUCUAAAGUUACAUUGUAGAUAGUUCUAGAUUCUCAAAACCAUUUAAGGUAAAAUCUUAUAUGGUUUUAGACGCAUGAUGUGUGGGUUAGGUACACAUCACAUGUUUGAACCCCAGGCAAAGAACUUGUAUUUAAGUGGAGAAGGGUAGAGUGGCGGACCCAUUAUACAAGUUUCAAACUGUGUACCAUUAGCUGUUGGGGAUCACCUGGUUCUAGAAGGGUUAUACUCCAUUUUUUUUUUGCAAAAUAUUCUGGUUGUAAGCAUGUCCCAUUGUUGGUUGUAAGUUGUGACUUUCGAUAGUAUGUCUUUUUAGCAAUUGCUUCUUUUGUCGGAUUCUUAGAUCGGCUUACUUGGGACUUCCUGACAAGUGGAUUCAUUGUAGAUGGAUCUAUUAAUGAGCACUCAGCUGCAGCAUCUAACAAUUAUGGUUUAGGGUGAUGGGGUAAUGUGGUUAUAAAUGAUGCUUUCAUUUGGUAUCUCACAGCAAUUGAAACCAAGAGUAUUUAUCAAUUUGUUUCUACUUACUACCUACAGUUACUUGGAAAGCCAACUCAAAUUUCCACUCAAUUUUCACUACUCUUUCUACAUCAACCUUGAAUUUUGAUUAGUGGUAUCUUCCGGUGCUUUAUGUCAGAGAGUUGGCGUAUUUUACCCAUAGAUACUGGAAAGUGUAAGAUAGUUUCUGCUAUAUUUUUGUUACUCCUCUUAGGAAAAGCCAGAACAUGUUUCCUCUAUAUUUUCAUUACUCCCCUUAAGAAAAGCCAGAACAUUUUUUGCUAUAUUUUGGUUAAUCUAAUGACACCAGCCAUUUAGUGCAAUGACUGCAUUUAUUUUGCCUAUGCUUCUGUUUUCUUAGUGCCGACUUUCUUACUUACAUGUCAAACAUGAUAUGAGUAAAUGCCCAUGGUUGUGUACGUUGCAGAGGAAUCUGAAUCAGACAGUGAAGAAUCUGAUGUUAGUGGUUCUGAUGGAGAUGACACAUCAUGGAUUUCUUGGUUUUGUAACCUGCGUGGGAAUGAGUUCUUUUGUGAGGUUGAUGAUGACUACAUUCAAGAUGAUUUUAAUCUUUGUGGAUUGAGUGGUCAAGUUCCAUACUAUGACUAUGCACUUGACCUAAUCCUUGAUGUUGAAUCCUCUCAUGGUAAGUAUAGUUGCUUCUUUAGAUUUUCUGAUGAAUUGCAAGUUAACAACAUUUGACUUGUCUUUUCUGUUGAAUGACAAGUUGUUGGUCUUCUGUAGAUAGAAAGAAAUAGGUAAAACAUGGUUUUAUUUCCUACCUUGCUGCACUCUUCCGUGUGGAACUCUUUCCUUUUUAAAUACAAAUUAAUACUAUGUUAAUUUCGGUGUAAAGUCUACAUGUUUCUAAACUAGUAAGCUUGACUUGAUAUUUUGAGGUUGACUGAGGUACCUGUUUUUCGAGGCUGGAAAAGGGGGAAAGUUAGUCUCUGGUAACGUACCAUGCCAGAUUCUGCUUAGCUGGUGUAGAUUAUUUGUAGACAAAUGCAUGAAUUUGGAUUUGAUAUGAACUAAAUGAGUUUUUACACAUGCCCUUGCUUAGUGUUAAGGUUUGUAAGAAAUGUUGUCCACCGAUGUUUGGGGAUCCUUGCAGAAAUAGUUGGCUGGGUUCAUUAUUUACUUUUCUAGCCGGUAUACAUGGAUUACAUACUGAUCAUACAUGGACACAUACUAUACAUCCACCCGGCUAUUUUUAGUUUAAGCGGUUGAAGGAGCGACUAUUUAGGUUAAUUCUCUGAUGUUGUUUAUGCUUCAUAGGGUUUUGAUGUUACACUCAAUAUGAUUGAAGGCAUGCCCGAGUUGUACUUAAGAACCGAAUGAAAGUGAGUGCGGGUUGGUUGCUUCACAUUGCUUAGGUUUGUCUGUGUUUCAAUGAGGUAUACCAAGGUGCAAUGAUGUCCACCUUAAGGAAAAAUCAACCAACUAAUUUUAGUUAUGUUAGUUCAUGAAAAAGUUAAUGUAACGCGGUAAAGUUAUCUUCCUGUGAAUAGGUCACGAGUUCAAAUUGUGGAAGCAGCUACUAAUGCUUGCAUUAGAAUCGGCUGUGUACAUCAUAUCCCUUGGGGUCCUCAGAUCCUGUGUGAACAAAUGAUGCUUUGUGCACUGGGAUGCCCUGCCCAAAGUGUUAUUGUUAUGAAAGUAUUAUUAAGAAAAUAUUUUUGGUUGAAUACAUUGCUCAUGAAGAAUAAUAAUAUUAUAAAUUUAGUAAGGAAAUUAACUGAAUUUUUGUUAUAAACUUGACAUUUCAUUUUUUUGAAAAUAAAAAUUAGAGAUGGUUUUUGAAUUUGAUAGUAUGAUCCGGUGUUUUAAAAACAACCCCACCUCAACCCCCGCCACUCCUGCUGAUUGUCUUCUCCAAAAAAGUUUAAGUUUUGGAAGGAGACGGUCAUUUCUCCCGACGGCCGCUCUUUUUUUUUUGGGUUUAUUUUUUUAUUUUUAAAAUCCUCUACUUAAAAGUAAUUUGUGAGUUAAAUAUAGUUUUUCAAUCACUAUUUUCUCUAUUUUUUCAGAUCUGAAAAAAUAUCAUCACCAUCUUGUUCACUGAAAAAAAUGGAGAUCGAUCACAACCACCACUCUCUUUCUCUCUCCCUCCCUCUAUUGUACUAAAUCACAUUUUAUUUGAAAUUAAAUUAUCAAAUCUUUUUAAUAUUUAAAUCUUGAAAUGGGUCUAUUCCUAAACUUCUAAUAUGCUUUCCAUAGUUUUUUCAUCAUUUCGUUAUAGCUAUCUUCAUUCACCAUGGUUGGAGUUUAAGCUUCUGGGAAAAUGGAGAAGAAGAAGAAAAAAUAAUUAAAAAGUGGCUAAAUAAAUCUUUCACGCGCAGUCAGCGAGUGUUUCACACUAACUAUAUCAUGUAAGCAAAAAGUGCCAAAAUGACACAUUGAGGCCUGGCAUGAGGUGUUUAAAAUGAACAAAUCUUAGUUUAGGUGUAAGUAAAAAUUAGUGUCAACUUUAGGGGGCCACGGAUGGGUUCAACCUUUUUUUUCAAAUACUCUCCAAACAAAGCUUUCAUAUAAACAUUCACUCCUUUAUCUACUUUUUUCCUAUUUCCUCCCCAAAUUGCUCUUCAAGUCCAAAGCUAACAUACACAAACUUAUUACGAGGAUCUAACACGAAAGCAAUAUAGAUCAUUGGGUUCAUAUUUUCAGGAUUACCCCAAUAGCUCUUGAGUGUAUUUUAAUCAUACGCCCAACCAUAGUACUUAAAUUAAGACCGUCACUUGUUAAACACAAUUUCUAGUAUACAUCAAGCUCACAUACAUCCCAUAUAUCCUACCUGGAACCUUUAUGGUAACUCAUAAAACUUUUCAAGAAACUUUACCACAUUUCUCACAUUCGCCCAAUCAUCACAUACAAGCGCAUCUACAAUACUUCCAUCUUCACAAACAUGAGUAGAUAGAUAAGUUUUAAAAUUUGCAUCAAAAAGAUCAAACCUAUCAAAGGCCUUCUCAAAGUGUUGUGUCGUUUCUAACAUCAAGUAGGCGGAAUUCCACAUAGUAGGCACAUCGAGCGAUAAUGUUUUAUCACAUUCUAUCUUUUGGACUUCACAACAUUUCACAAAGUUUCUUGUUCUUGCUGGAGAUGAUCUAACAUACCUCGCCAUUUGCCUAACUCGUUUGACAGAAAUAUCAAUUUCCUUCAAAUCUUCUUGCACAAUUAAGUUAAGUAUGUGAGCCAUACAUCUCACAUGAUGAUGCUUACCACCCAUUAUAUUGGUUCCCACAUAUCAAUCUGCUUUGACAAUUGUGUAACCAUAACACUAUUAGAAGAAACAUUGUCAACAGUAACACAAAAUACUUUGUCCAAGUUCCAAUCAAGCAAGCAAUUACCAAUAGCCUCUGCCAUUUGCCCACCCUUAUGACUAGAGAUUUGGUAAAAAUUUAGUAUUCUUUUAUGCAACACCCAAUUAAGUGAGCAGUCAAACACAUAUAAUUAAUUCCUUGCAUUAAUGUCCAUGUAUCGGUGGUGAGGCAAAUCUUUGGUAGUACUUCUCUGGAUGAAUUUUUUUGAUUGUAUCUAAGUUCACCAUAAAGUUCAUAACAACCCCUUGUUAUCCUUCUACGAGAAGGAAUCCAAAAUAGAGGUUGGAUUUUAUUUAUAAACUUUUUGAAGCCUUCCUUUUCAACGAAGCUAAAAGGUAGUUCAUCCACAAUUGUUUUCUCAACUAAAACCCUCCUAACUAAUUCUUGUUCAAAUUUCCAAAGUGGUGCUUCCUUAGAUGGGAAAUUUAUCUUGUGUUGAGAAGCACUUUCAAUGAUAGGUUUAUAAAAUUGGCACCUUGCUAAAUGUUGGUUCAAUCCUAUUGUACCAUUGAUGGAAGUAUAAGCAAGAAGCUGGUGACAAUACCUGCACUUCGCUUUACUAAUACCAUUUUAAACCACCUAUCGAAAUGCUGCCAAGCUUUGGAUCUUGGUGCCAUUUCUUCGCUUUUCUUUGUAUCUUGGGUGUCAAGUGAUCAUUUGAACCGGGCAACACUAACUCUACUUUCAUCCUCCAUCUACAAUAAGUGAAAAUUUGAAAGAGUAACUGAGUAACUAUAAGACUAUAGUGUAAGAGAAUGAAAACGCAAGGCAAUUAUUGAAGACUAAAUAACAACAGAAGAACCAAGUCACUCUAGCAACAACCAACAACAAUCUAUGAAAUGAUAAAAAAAAAUGAUUUUUUGUAGCAGUAGUAGGCAUCGACGAGCAUUUUACAUUUGACAACACAAAUAAAUAGAGGCGCCUGAGAGAGAGAAAUUAGACGAGAGUGAGAGUUACAAGUUACAACUUACAUAUUGUUGCGACUGAGAGAUGCCUUACACCAUUGGAGAGAAGUCAUGUCGGCGGCUGCAAAGAAGACUGAAUUGAGAUUCUUGCGAAAAGUCGAACGGAAGACUAGAGUGUGGGUUGUGGCUGUGCUAUGAAGUAAGAAGUGUGACUUGUUAGUUUUCGUUUGUUUGUUUUAAGGAUAGGGGUUCCAAAAUUUGGAAUUGGGUGGGUCAAAAAAUUAAAAUGUUUUGGGUUAAAAUUUCAAAAUAUAUAAUUAAUAAAAUUUAAAAUAUUAUUUUAAAUUUAGUUAAUAAAAUUUCAGUUUUUUCGGUGCACCGAUUUUUUUUUGACCCUUACACCGAAUACCGAACCAAAAAAUUGAAAUUCCAAAAAAUCAAAAAAUUGAAAUCAACCAAAUUAGUUUGGUUCGGUUCGGUUUUUUGGUUUUCCGGUAUUUAUACCCACCCCUACCAUACGCCCAAGUUGGAUCUCUUUUUUGUGCCAUUGAAUUAAAAUAUAGAAUAUACUACAAAAAACAGAACAAUAAAAAGAAAAAAACAGAGUGGAUUUAAUCGUAGCGUAGUAGCAGAGAAGAUUAUAUUGAAAAAUUGAAAAAAAAGAAGAGAAUUGCAGAAUGCGACCUACAAUAGUGUUGCCCAAGCUGGGUCUCUUUUCGUGCCAUUGAAUAAAAAAAUAGAAUUUACUACAAAAAAAUAGAACAGUGAAAACAAAGAUGACAACAACAAAAAACAUAACAAAAUAGAGGGAAAAUUUCAAAACAUGGAAAAAAAAGAGCAUAAGACCAUCUCCAAUCCACCUCUAUUUUACUCUCCAUUCUCUAUAUUUGGAGAGUAAAAUAGAGAAUGAGCACUCCAACCCAACUCUAUAUCACCCUCUAUUCUUCAUAUUUAGAGAGGUGAAUAGUAGUUCGCCAAAUUUGGAGAACUUUGGAGAACUACUAUUCACUCUCUAUUUCACUUUUUGAAUAUUUUAUUAUUAUUUCUAUUACUUUCUAAUUAACAUAUUAUUUUACAUAUAAUGUCAUUAAUUAAAUAUCUACUAUUCAUACUUCUUUUAAAUGUAAUAUAAUAUUUUAAAAAAUAUAUUAUUUAAUAUAUACUACUUUCAUUCCGAAUUAAUAGUAUUUUUUUAAAAAAUUUUCGUUGAUAAUAUAAUUUGAUUUUAUUAUUAAUUUUCACUAUAAAGAAUACACAAAAUUAAAAUGAUAAGAUGAAAAAUUUAAUUUAAAAAUACAACACAUAAUAUGAUAAUUAAAAUACAAGAUAACAAUACAAUACAUAACAUAAUAAUUUAAAUGCAAGAUAAAAUACAAUACAUAACAUAAUAAUUAAUUCGCGAUGAAACAAGAAUCGUGCCGAAAAGAUGCUGAACGUGCAUUCGGAGUUUUACAAUCACAUUUUGCAAUUUUUGCAGGAUCGUCACAUUUUUGGAGAAAGAAAGUGCUACAUGAUAUAAUGACUACAUGCAUUAUACUGCACAACAUGAUAAUUGAGGAUCAACGUGGUCUUAAUGCACCAAUUCAAGAUGUCGUAGAGGCUCCAACUCCAACGACAUAAAUGGUGGUAGAUGAAAAUCUCCGAUUUAAACAACUUCUAGCUAGACAUAAAAAAUUAAGGACAAAAAUGCUCAUUUUGAACUCCGUAAUGCAUUAAUAGAGAAUUUAUGGGAGCAACGUAAUAAUUUUGAAAAUUGAGUGGUUAUGUAAUUAUAUUCCACUUUGAUUUAAAUUUGUCCAUUAAUUUGUAUAUUAUAUAAUAUUUUCUUGCAAUUUAUGUUAUUUAAAAUUUAGAAUAAAAUAUAAUUUUAUAUUAAAUAAAAAAUAAAAUUUUAUAUCACAUGAAAAUUAUAUAAAGUAAUUAUUGGGAAAAAGAAAUAAAGGAUUUAUACUAUGAAAUAAGAAAAUAAGAAUGAAAUAGAAAUAAAUAAUAUAAUAUUGAGGAGAGAGAAAAAGAUUCAUUUUUAGAGAGUAAAAUAGAGAAUUGGGUUGAAGUUGAUUGUCUGAAAAAGAUUCAUUUUUUCAAUUUCUUUGGUCAUAUAUUUGUCAUUCAUGUUAAUAAUUAUUAGUCUUGGACUAAACAUGUAUAUUUGUAUUUUUUUUCUCCCUUUGCGCUUUUUUUCAUUAAAGCCCACGCUUUAUUUGCGCUUUGUGCUUAAAGCCCCCACAUACCCUAGAGCUUUUUUGCACUUUUCGCCUUUGAUAAAACUGCCUAGUAGUUGGCUCACAUUAUAGAGAUAGAGAAAAGAAGAAGAAAAGAUGAAAAACAUACCUUGUAGUCGCACAAGAGAAGUGAAAUGGAGGGAAAUGUUUAGCAAGUCGUGUAAGUGUUUUUACAAUUUUUUUAAAAAAACUAGUUAAGCUAACCUUGCUUAAGCAAACUUUUUCCCACUUUUAUUAUUGUGUUGCUUCUCGCUUUAGUCCUAGAAGCGCUUGCUUUUUCACGAUAGCCUUGCUUCAUAGUAGAAAAACAAUAACCUGGCUCUUCACUUUGUUUCUCGCUUUAAGCAAUGGAGCGCUCACUUUUAAUAACAUUGUACGAUAUCAAUACAUUACAUAUACAUACGACCAGUUUUGUUGAAAACUUUUUUUUGUUGUCUGUUCAGUUACGUAAGACCCCCUUAUUAAAAGGUAUCGCUUCUUCUAAAUCCAGAAUUCAUCUCUUGUAAAUAGGGUCAUGAUCUUAAGGAUAUAGUAUUGUGCAACUUUAUUUAGUUUCCUACCUUUUUUCAUGAUAUUAUUACUAUUAUUAUUAUUAUUAUUUUUUUUUUUUUUAAAAAAAAAACAAAAAAAAACUUAUUUCUAAAGCAAAUUAUGGACUCAAGGUCCUUUUUAUUCAAUAAUCAAAGUCAGUCCAAACAGGCUCAAAAUGAGCCUAAAACAAAAUGAAAUUGCAAAUAUGUAUACAACUUAACUUGGCCCAUAGCGUCCGAAUUCAGAUAAUAUAAAAAAGACCCUACAAUGCAGGGUUCUCUAAAUUGGUCCUUAGCUUCUCUUUCUCUUUCGUUUCUAUACUGAGGAUGUUAUCGAUGUUCCUUCCAAACGUUGGUCUCCGACUCAUUUUGCUCUUGGUGAUUAAUUUCCUUCAUUGUCAAUGGAACUCGUGCUUCUUUCUCAGCUUGCAAAAGUUGAUUUUUAUCCCUUUCUCUUCGCUUCUUCUUUGAUGUUGUCCUUUGAAACAACCAUUAAAUUUUUCCAGGCUUGUAAUCUGGUGGAGGUCCAAGAGUUUUAGUGAAAUUCCACAGAGGGUUAGAACCUUGUAUUCCAGCUCCAUAGUUUUUCUGUAAGCAUUCUUGGUUUCGUCUUAGUUCCUUUCCAUUUUAAUUUGUAUCAAUCCUUUUAUUUUCUCCGGUUGAAGUAGUAGAGGAGAAAACCAUGUUGCUCCCUGUCUCCCUCCUUUUGAACUCUCAAUUGGAUUUUUCUCAACCAUCGUUUUUUGCUGGUGAACCUUUUUGUAGGCUGACGUAGCUUUCUCGCAGUUAUUUUGCCCAAGAAGUGGCCAAACAUUGCUUUUAACAGUUUAGAAUUCAUCUCUUCUUUUUUAUGUACAAAGCAAGGUUUCGCCACUUCAUGGGAAAAUAACUGCGAGAAAGCUACGUCAGCCAACAAAAAUAUUAACCAACAAAAAGCGAGGGUGAAAAAAAUUCAACUGAGAGUUAAAAGGGAAGGAGAUUGGGAGCAACAUAGUUUUCUCCUCUACUGCUUCAACCAAUGAAGAUAAAAGGAUUAAUACAAGUUGAAAAUAAAAAGGAACUAAGACAAAAACAAGAAUGCUUACAAAGAAAUAUGGAGCUGGAAUAUAGGGUUCUAUAACCCUCUUUCAAGUUUCACCAAAACUCUUGGGCCUCUUCUAGAUUACACACUUGGAAUGAGUUAAUGGUUCGUUUCAGUGGCAACAUCAAAGAAGAAUGAACUCCAUUGACAAUGAAGCACUGUCAUCAAAGGUGCGCUUUAAGCGCGCUUAAGCCCUAAAGCGAGGCUCAAAACGUGUUGAGCGCUUCACCUCACUUUAUGAGUGCUUCAACGUCGUCAUCAAAGUUCUAAGACAAACUUUUCCUUGUCAAUGAGCCUCUUAUGAAGAAGUGACGCUUAAAAAUUGAUAUUUCACUUUAUCAUAGUUUUUUUCAAUGAGCCUCUUAUGAAGAAGUGACGCUUAACAAUUGAUAUUUCAAUUUAUCAUAAUUUUUUUUCAAUUUCUUUGGUCACAUAUUUGUCAUUCAUGUUUAUAAUUAUUAGUCUUGGACUAAACAUACACAUAUUUUUUUCUCCCUUUGCGCCUUUUUUCAAUAAAGCCCACACUUUAUAUGCGCUUUGCGCUUAAAUCCCCCACGGACCUUAGAGCUUUUUUGCGCUUUUCGCUUUAAAUAACACUGCAAUGAAGGAAGUUGAUCACCGAGAGCAAAAGGAGUCGGAGACCAGCAUUUGGAAGGGACAAUGGCAACAUCCUCACUGUAGAAAGAGAAGAUGAAGAUCAAUUUAGGAAACCCUACAUUGUAGGGUGUUAGUUUAUAUUAUCUGAACUCGGUCACUUUUGGGACCGGGUUCAGUUGUAUAUAUUUUUGCAAUUUUGUUUUGAGUUCGUUUGGAUAGACUUUGAUUAUUGAUGAAAACGACCUUGAUUCUAAUUUGCUUUUAAAAAAAGAAGGGUAAAUGGCUAGUUUACUUAAGUCUGUCUUCAGCCUUUUAGUUCAUCGCUUCUACAAGAAAAAAUUAGAACUCCAAAUCAAUAAGUCACUGUUCCAGUUUCUAAUGGUGUUGAUUGUAUUUACUCAAUGUAUACCUACAUGAAUAAUGUGAGCUGAACCAAUUGAUUAGGCAUCGGAAGCACGUCGGUGGUACCUUAAGUUGUUAUGGUCUAAGUUGCUCGGACUCUUCACUUUUGGUGUCGUACCCAUGUCGACACGACAUGGGUGUGGGUGUGGGAUCCGUGUCCGAUUUGGUCAACCAAUUUUGGGUACUUUGACCAAAAUCGAUGGGAAAAUUUGGACAGUUUGAAUGAUUUCAGCAGUCAAUACAAAAACUAAGGUGCAAUUGAAGAAAAUGGUAUACCUUUUAUAUUGAAAUUUCUACGUCACUCCUUUCCUUUAAUCUCCUUCUAGCAUUCUCCUCAAGUUCUCCACAUAAUUUAGGCUUAAUAAUGCUAUUUUUAGAUAUUUUAAUUAUCUUUAGGCGAAUCCCCAUACCCGUAUCCAUACAUGGAUCCAUAUCCCCGAAUCUUAAAAAUUAGAUCAUGAAGGAUCCGACCUCUAGAUCCGCACCCGUAUCGGAUACCCGCACCCGAGUUCGAGCAACUUAGGUUAUGGUGCUCACAAAUGCAUUAGGAAAUUCAUAUGUUCACGCCUUAAAACUCAAGUGCUAUACACUAUGGGUAUAUAUUUGUUGGUUAUAGCUAAAUAAGGGGGAAAGUAUUUGCAAGGGCUAGUGUGCAAAGAUGGGUAGGGUAAAGAGUUGGAUAAGUAAGACGCGAACUAUGGUAGGGACAACAACAACAACAACAACAACAACCCAGUGAAAUCCCACUAGGUGGGGUCUGGGGAGGGUAAGUAGUACGCAGACCUUGCCACUACCUCGUGGAGGUAGAGAGGCUGUUUCCAAGAGACCCUCAGCUCAAGAACAUCAAAUCUAAGUGACAGGAGAGAUAUAUGCAACAUAACAGCNNNNNNNNNNNNNNNNNNNNNNNNNNNNNNNNNNNNNNNNNNNNNNNNNNNNNNNNNNNNNNNNNNNNNNNNNNNNNNNNNNNNNNNNNNNNNNNNNNNNNNNNNNNNNNNNNNNNNNNNNNNNNNNNNCCAAGUCUUGUCUAAUCACCUCCUCCCAAUACUUCUUGGGCCUACCUCUACCCCUCUACCACCAUUACCUCGCACCUCCUCACUGGGGCGUCUGCACUCCGUCUCUUCACAUGUCCAAACCAUCUCAGUCUCGCUUCCCUCAGCUUGUCCACCACAGAGGCCACUCCCACCUUCUCCCGGAUAACCUCAUUCCUAAUCUUGUCGCUCCUAGUGUGCCCACACAUCCAUCUCAACAUCCUCAUCUCCGCAACAUGCAUUUUAUGAACAUGUGCGUUCUUAACUGGCCAACACUCCGCUCCAUACAACAAGGCCGGUCUAACUACCACUCUGUAGAACUUACCUUUAAGUUUCGGUGGAAUUUUCUUAUAGGGACAAAGAUUCUAUAUUUUUGUAACAGGAUCACAUAGUUCAAUCCAUACUAAACUUAAACCUUGAGGGGGCAUUUGGUAUGGGGGAUGGGAUAGGCAAAGUUAUCCCAUGGAUUGAUAUAUUCCACAGGAUUAGUUACCCCAACAGAUAUAUGGGAUAACUUAUCCCUCCCAUGGAUUGAGAUAUUCCACAGGAUUAGUUAUCCCACCGUAUAUAUGAGAUAACUUAUCCCAUCAUUAUAGUAAAUCAUGGGAUAAAUAAUUCAGGGCCUAACUAAUACCCCUAACCAAGUGUAGGAUGAAAUAAUCCUGAAUUUUGUCCUGGGAUUAUUCUACCAUAUCUCUCAUUCCAAAUGACCGUUGGGAUUUGUGUUGGUUUUUGUCUUUGGCAUAUCAAGGUCACCAUUAUUGGAAUCAUGUUGGUAUUUCGAGACCCUGCAGAGCCAUAGAGUCGUUAGUGCAUAUGGGAUCAUGCUAUAAUCUAUACUUCAUUCUUUUUUGAUGAAGUGAUAUUUCAUUAAGUCAUCCAGUAGAUGCAAAGAUACAAGGGGGGGGGGGGAAUCUGUCAGCCCUGUCAGAACAGAAAACUUAUAGGGCUAAGGAGCUAACAAAAUCCAGGUAGUGAUCUAAGUUAUUUACAGGGGAAAAGUUGGCCCAACUAAAAAGGUUAACCAAACAACUAGCCUUAAGCUUACAAAUUGGAGUUAAAAACUCCAUCAAAAUAUCUCCUGUUUCUUUCAUUCCAAAUAACCCAAAAAAUACAAGCUGGGGUCAUGAUCCAGAUUUUCCUGAUGGAUUUUUAUACUUCCAUAGAGCUCCAACUAGUGUUGGCUACUCUGAUAUUGAAGGGCAUCAACCACCUUCAUUGGAAAUUCCAUGUCAGAGUGUACACAGAUGCGAGCCCAAUAAAGUUGAUUCCUGUUCUUUGUAUCUUUAUCAAUGUCUACACAUCCCCUGCACUGGUCUCCUAUUUUCUUGAAAUUUUCAGUCGUCCAAGCAUGCAAGGGGAUCCCAAGCACCUUCACCCAUCUCUGACCUGUGUCUCUGUGUGUUACUUCAGAUUCAGCAGCUGGUGACCACCAAUCGAGAGUCAGCCUCCUUCCGUUCCAAAACCAAUCACCAUUUUUGACUCUUAUAGCUUCCUGCUUGGAGGGUAGCUCGAAAAGAAAUUUGUUGUGAUUUAUGGGAGUGACUCUAAGCCCUGCACUGAUUUGCCAUCUGUUGAGAAACCAUUUUUGAAUUAUCUCUCGAUUAGGGCUGAUAUGAAAAGAGUCGUUGAACGUCCCAACUAGACACUUUGCAAAGAAAUUCUCCUUUUCUAUUGCCUGAGACUCGGAAGAUUUCUCAGAAUUGGUUGGCCAAUUAGUAAUUUUUGCUGCUUGAAAAUAUGAUUUUGCCUUUGAAUCUGCGAGCUGAAAUGGUGGAUUAACAGCCUUCCCCAGAAAUUUUUGAUCUUCCCUGCAAUAUCUUCCCACCCCCAGUUGUAGUCAUUCUCUGGGAUAAUCACCGAUGCUUUUUUCUCCCCAAGCAAAGUUUCUAUCCUCACGUACCGGCCAUAUAUGUUGAAAUUUUAGAUUACACUGAAUGAGUAGCAUUGGAUCUUUCUUGCCCACCUUCUGCAUCGAUUUCCCCUUCCCUGCGAAGCUUCAAGGAGAGCUUUACACACCCAACACAGAUUUGCUUCAUUGAUUCUAAUGCUGCUAGUAAACCUCCUCCCACGUUCAACCAGAGUGAACCAUCGAUCAUAAUCUUCACUAGUGUUUGAUAACUCGAAAGAUUUGUCGCCUGCAAUAAUUUUUUUUUUCUCUCCCAUAUCUAGAAAAGAGAAAAGUCAUCGGAGAAAGUUGACGGCAAAAGAAUCAGAUAAGUGAACCAAACAAUUCAUCUAAAACAUCACCAGUCAAUGUUUUUGUUCAUCCAUAAAGCUGCUGCUGGAGAAUUUGUGGUUUUUGAUUAUCCGUUAGUAGUUUUGUUUGAGAGAUCUAUACUUCAUCUCUCAUCUAAUGCAAACAUGCAUUGAUAUAUUUUACCUUGUGUGGCUGGAUCAAUGAUUAAUCUGCCACAUCCACCAUUUAGUUAUUCUUUCUGUGGGAGCAUACUCCAAUUCCAUUUUUUUAUUGGGCAGAUUAUUAAAAUUCUGCUGUCUAGUACUUGUGCAUCACAUAAGAAGGUUUUCUUUUAAGGAACUCUCAUAAUUUUAUGUCUCAGUAGGUAAACACUCCUGAAGAUGGGUUAUCUGGGGGUAGUUAUUGAUAAAAAAUUAGCACACCUUGGAAAAAGUAUUUAACCUUUGUUGAUAAACCUGCUAAAUCUAUGAACCAUGGUGCCAUCUGUUUUAUGAUACAAAUUAACCUUUUGGUUUACGAAAAAUUGAAUUGGGUCCCAGCUUAUCUAAAUCAGAUUCUUUUCUUCAUUUGGACUGGGAGUCUGGGACUAUUAGGCUUAAUUGGAUGAAUGGAGACAAUUUCUAUAAUGGUUUUCUCUUAUAACUUGCAUCUUAAUUCUGUCUGCUUUAUAUAAUAUUGAAUUUUCAUGUACUUCCUCUUGGAAGAGACAUAUAGCUGUAAUCAGAUAUUAUGGUCUCUGAAAGAAUUCUAAUGCUUGGAAAACUGAUGAUAUUAUGCUUGGAUGAUAUUAUUUUCUUUCUAUUCGAACUCUUGAAUCUUGGAUAAAAUAAUUGUGUUCAGGCCUUAUAUUUGCCAGCAUGUCCUUGUACAUACCGUGUCAUACCAAGCUUUUUGAUUAAUUUAUUUUUGAUAUCAACUUCCUUUUGAAAAAAACAAAACAUUCUUUGUAUUCACAGGUGCAAAUUUAGGUCUAUUUUAAGUGCAACUAAAAAUGUCAACACUUGUUCAAAACGGAGUACACUUUCGACAUUUGUAAAAAUGAGUUUGUAGUUUUUCCUGCUGUGAUCUUUCGAAAAUUUCUCCUGCUUUGAAUAGGUGAUAUGUUCACUGAAGAGCAAAAUGAAUUGGUUGAAUCAGCAGCAGAGAUGCUUUAUGGCUUGAUCCAUGUCCGGUAUAUUUUGACCAGCAAGGGAAUGGCUGCAAUGGUAAUGCGUCUUAUAUAUCAGGCUUUCAGUCAUUUAUAUGAUUCUAGUCUUACCUGCUUUUGUAGCCCCUCUUCUCCACUCCUUUUCUUUCCAUUGGUGGUGCUUAUUUAACGUGCAUCUUGUCUGAAAAACUGAUUUCCUGGUAAACAUUUUUCAGUUGGAGAAGUACAAGAACUACGACUUUGGGAGAUGCCCACGAGUUUAUUGCAGUGGACAGCCUUGUCUUCCAGUCGGUCAGUCUGAUAUUCCACGCUCAAGUACUGUAAAAAUUUACUGUCCAAAAUGUGAAGAUAUCUACUAUCCACGAUCAAAGUACCAAGGCAGUAUCCUUCACUAUUAUAGCUUUUAUGCCUUUUCUUCCUCAACACAUUUCCUCUAUAGCAGUGUUUCGAAUGCAAAAAGCGAAAAUAAUCACUGAAGUCUAUUGGGCUUCAAGGACAAACUGCAAAUUAAGUGCUGCCUUUAAUGGACAAAGGCUCAAUUUGAAGGGAAAGAUUAAAAAUAAUAUAUUUGUAGAGUAAAAAAUGACAACUAUAAACCCAAACAAACCGACUGACAAAAGAAUUUAGGUGAAAUAUUUAUUGCUAGUGCCACUCUCUUCAUGAUAGAGCCCUAGUGCAAUGGUGCACACGUCUUGGCUCUAUAGUGCCUUCACUGGAGCGCCUCUCGAGCCAGGGGAAUCAUACAACGUAUUCUGCAACCUAGUUUCAGGGAUUAAGCAUGCCACUACCAGUCCUUUAACACCACUCCACUCUACUAGUACAUUUAUGUUGUGGUAUCUUGGAUUGAUUUUGUUCCGAACAGUUUUAUUUUGUUAUUCUCUCCAUAUUUCAAGUUCCGUUUGGACAUGGAUGCAUAUAAACAUCAAGAGUAGUUCUGCUCAUAGUUCAUAUUAUUGUUUGCUCCCUUACUGCGACAAAAAUGUCACUCUUCCCUGGAACUGAUUUCUUUGACUGGCCAAGAUAUUGAUGGAGCUUACUUUGGGACAACAUUUCCUCACCUCUUUUUGAUGACUUAUGGACACCUGAAGCCGCAAAAGCCAACACAGAAUUAUGUUCCAAGGGUAUUCGGUUUUAAGAUACACAGGACUUGAGAUUGAAGGUCCUCUGUGAAAUGUGAUGAGAUUAAAUAGUUUGUCAGUAAAUGGUUCUCACCUGACAUUUAUGUACAAUUCAUCAAGGUAGAACCAGGAAAUGUUGAGUUGUUAAUGUCCAAAAUUGUUUCAUUGAUGAAAGAAGUAACUGUUGCCAGCCAAUCUCUCUUUUGUAAUCUUAUUAUUUCUUCUUCCACUUCUAUUGACACUUGAUUUUCA
rnacentral:lncRNA from 1 species